AAUAACAAAGAAGGCAUCACAAGAACACAAAACGGUUGACACAAAAUCAAUGGAGUAUACUGCAAGAACUUGUACUCGAUUCGCUGAAAAUGUUUUUAAUCACAAUGCAUGCACUUCCAGUUUGAAGUUGCUUAUGACAAGACGCGGAGGAACGUAACAGUGGACUAGACAGUUCAUUGCUGCCUUCCGACACAAAAUAAACCAGCCAUCAAAUAGACAUCAACUCCAGGUAGCCCAUCAGUAGAAGAAAAACGGAGAGCACCAUCCUGAAUCAACCGUAGAUAAGCUCUCCUGCACAACAUAGAUAAAGGUGGUGAGGACAAUUGAGGGGUGCAGAAGACAUCUCAUGCCAAAAAAAACAAUGCUUAUAUUGCACAUGUUUACAAAGACUAUAUUGCACAUGUUUACAGCUCAAUAGUGUCGCAUAACAUAUAACUGCUGUAGUACACACAAUAUCACUUAACGUAACAUCAGGUUUAGCCUUCCACUGUUUUUGUUGGUAUCAAUACGUAAUAAUUAUAUUUAUCAAUCUUCUUAGACGGGUACAUAGGUCUUAGGCUCUUAGCAUACAGAAUGUAAGUCACACUUUUGUUCCUACACAAUUUAGUUGUAAGAAAGGUUCUGUCAAAACUAUCACGGAAUUUAACUACUUUUAAGUCGUUGUCACUUCCACAGGGAGCAAAACGACUUUCACAUGUCAAUGAAUAAUGAUUCCAUUCCUCAAAAGUGUCAAACUCUGCAAAAGGCCUUCAAAAGCACUUAAAUCCAUAAUAUGCACAUUUGAAGUUCAACAGAACAUUAAACCAGUUUGCUACACCAUUUUUCUGACAUAUCAUCUGAUAACCAUUGACCUAACCUACUAACACAAAAGGUGAAUAUAGCUAACAGAUCUUACACCGCUAUUUGGAAGUAUCAUAUGGUGCUAUGCAACUUCAUAAAUGCACAAAAUGGUGAUACAAAAAGAUGGCCUGCAGUAACUUGAAGGUUGAUACAACUGUCACCGCAGUCCCAAACUAUGCAUAGCCAACGCAAUACACAGUGCAAGCUAUAAUCACAAAUGAUACCCAAACAAAUGUGUCAUUCAACAGUUUCCUUUGCCAUUCGAGAACUAUAACAGAAAAGUGCAAGCCAUAGAAGUGGUCAAACUUUGUAAAACUCAAGGAUGUCUUGAGAUUUUGCAUCACUGGCAGAAUGAAAUGGGCGUGAAACAGAAAACACCAAGAUCAUUCAGAUCCUCAUACAGUUCCACUAUUGGCGGUCAUAUAGACCAAUCAAUUGCCACUACGCAAGUGAUUCAAAUGCACAAAUGCCCCCACAAUAUUGUUCCCGACAACCAGAAUUCAUACAAAACCUCGUCCAAAUGACCAAACAAGUUCACAGACCCCGCCAGAACAUUUUGCAUCUAAUCGUACCGCACACCACGUACAUGCGACCUUACCUAAAUUAAACCAUACGACAAUCGUCAAGCAGACGGGGUUCAAACCCCCGAAAAGCAUCUCAUCGCACCACCGGAUCGGAUCAGGAAACAGAAAUGAUACAAUAGAACCCUCACCUGCGCGGGGCGGAUCCGGAUCUAGUGGCCGCCGUGCUUCUCGAGGUGCUCGAGGUGGCGGCGCUCCUGGGGCAGGCCCACGAGGUACGAGAAGGCCAUGCCGCCGAAGCAGACGUGGAAGAGCGGGUCAACCGAGCUGGUCUCGAUGUACUUCUCGAUGUAGCGGUCCACCGCCUGGUCGGUGCUCUUCUUCACGUUGGACCAGGUGAGGCGCGGCUUGAGGUACGCCGGCACCUCGCGCACCUUCAUCGCGCGGAUCUCGUUGUACAGCGCACGCAUCGCCAUGGUCGCGACCUGGGAGAUCUCCCUCUCUCUCUCCUCGUGCGCUUGGAGUCUAGGGUUCGUUCGGUCGUUGGCUUCGGUGGGGAGGGGAGGAUGGAAUGGCACAGGAGAGGUGGGGGAUUUGUUUGGGUGGUAAUCAGCGGAGUAUUUGGUUGGGCUGGGCUUAAAUGAUACGGUGACAAGAAUGACGGGCCUUCGGUUGACCAAGGGUUAUGCUGGGCCAUCUCAUUUGAUAUAUCGCGCCAAGACGAAUAGAUCUGAAAAAACAAAAUUGAUGAUUCUCAAAAAAAAAAGAUGGAAAAUUUGAUAUAUCACCGCAUCUCUUUUCACUUCUCAAAAAGCAGCUUGUCACACAAAAUAAUAAUUCUAAACAGUGUUAAAAAAAUUAUUUUUUUAACACAAUACAGACAUAGACGAUUGUAUAUACUAAUAUACACACACCCAUAUAAACACGCAUACACACAUACCAUACCUCUAUGAGCUCUGUUUAUUUUCUUUUGAAAAAUCAUCUAGAAAGCAUUACGUUCAUAGGUUGCAAUCUUUUUUUGCAUCCCCUCUGUCUACUGCUUCGGCGGCUGCUAGUGGGGGAAAGAAUCCUAAUAUAUCAGCUCUGCCUAGUAGAUAGGUUAGGGAUUUUAGUCCUCAUAUGCGGCACGUUUGGAUGAAUGGCGGCGCUUAUUGUUCGAGUCAGUAUUUUGCGCACCGAUUCUCCUCAAACUCGCCCGUCGGGGCGGAUUAGACGAAACUUCAAUGUAGAUUCCUGACAGCUCCUCGGGUCGCCGAGUUAGGGUUUCUUAAUUUGGUGUCAGGUUCUUCAGAUUGAUUUAACGAAGACUCUACGGCACCAGGGCGCUGGCCUUACAAGCGUGGGCAUGAAGACUUCCUACCCAUCAUCGACAAGAUCGGGCCAGCUCCAGUAUUGAAGUGGCAUAGCGUGGAGUGAUUCCGAACGGCCUCUAGGUCUCAUUCAUUUUCAUUUUUUUAAUGCAAGUAUAUAGGAGUAGCCGUUUGCUUUUUCGAAGCUACCUUAAUUAUUACUACCUAGAGAAGUUAUUUCUUUUCUUCUGGUGUAGUUUGGCGAAACCUGCUUCUUUUCUCAAAAAGAGGCGUCAGAUAUUCGGAUCAUAAUCAGGGACUUCAUAGUUUAAGCCAAUCACCAUCAGAUCAUAAUUAGUGUCUAAUAUACGUAAUUCAAGUAAAUCAGCAGCGGAACAUAAUUAGUGAGAUGUACGGGCUAACGGAGAAAUGGACUUUGAACUACAGGCGGGAAUACUCACCACUAUACUACAACGACUUGUUUGCUGUUUUAAUCAAGUAAGCUUAGUUAACAUAUAUAGAACUGAAAUUUUAGAGACGCACACCUUUUCAAAGAUGUUGCUCACAUCUUUGAUCCGAUCAAAGCUGUAGCUUGAGCCGGCCGAUGCUCACGCGAUGCCUCUAAUAAAAGCUGAACAGACCAAACACUCAGCAUAGCCACACACGCCUUUGGCCAUGUACGCAUCGCAUGCACGUGUGAAGCAGGAAUACUCAUAUUUUGAUAACCAAUUCAGCAUGCAAAGUUGCAAUCACACUCACCGAGUCUUGGAUUCUUUUUUUCCAACAUUGCCGAGCGCAUGUUCCAUUCUAUAUUUGUCUACUUUGCGCAACGUACACACGGGAGGCAUUAUGUGCUCCGAUCGUCGGAGAUAUCACCGGCGCCACCUGGUCUUAGACGGAUGGUUGGGAAACGCGGUGGGCCGGCGACUGCGGGAGGCUGGUGGAGGGCGUGUCGGCUGGAAAGGGUGGCCGCGGCCGCUGGGGGUUACGACGGGCAGGUCAGUGCGGCGGGCACGUCGCCAGCGGGGUUCACGAACCGGCGGGAACUCCCAGAGCGGCGGCGGCGGAGCUGGAGCCUGAGCCGGAGAAGCCGGCAGCGGUGACAAUGGCCCUGCAGCAGCCGUGCAACAGCGGCAGAUCAUUGCUUCUUCCAGAAGCGAUGGACGACUAGCGGCUCUCCUCCAUCUCGCAACCUUGCGAUCAAUGCAGCUCGAGUCGUGGCGGCUUCCGCCGUCGAUGUGGACCUCUUCAAGAACCAUGCCAUUCUGGGCCAAGAACUUGACGAGCCGGACUUGGAACUUGGAAGCAGGAGAGCGCGUCCACGUCGACCUGCACGACCACUCUCCUCAAGGAAUUCCGUAAGCAAUCCAGCACACUGCAGCUGCAGUUCAGUCCGGGGACGUCGAGGAGCUCACAGUCACAGCAAUCACAAUCGUUGUCGUCGUGCUCAUCGUCGCCUUUCAAGGAUGGUUGUUUACACGCCGUGAAAUCCACUAUCGUGGCCGUCUCAUCUGCUGUUUCGUUGAGAUACUUCCGCCAGCUGAAUUUCAGCCGGAGAUCACCGGGGAGGAACGUAGCAGGUUCAGAAUUGCGUUGGCCGCAGCCCCGUGGCUGUCGAGACACCAACCGCACAGCUCUUCUAUUCCGAGGUGCUCCAGGUUGGGGAACAUUGGCAAGUGGACGCCGUCGAUGUCGGCGAUGGAGUAGACCGUCAGCUUGAGGGACCUAGCGUGGCACACGCCGCCGCAAAAGUGGACCGAGCGCAGAGACGCGGCAGAGUGGGCCUCCAGGUGGACACGUUCCAGGCCGGGCGAGGGCGACUUGAAGGAGACUGAGGCGUCGAACGGCACGAUCUGGGUGUAGCGGAAGCGGCGCAGGCACGGCGCGUCGAGCUCGAGGCUGCACGCAUCGGUGUCACGGGUGGCCAUGUUGGUCACGGCGACCACGCUGGCCGCCGGGCAUCGGAGAGGGAGCCACCGGGUGGCGGGUGAACCCGAAGGCGACCGGUCCAGGAACCUCAGCGACUCGAGCCGCAGGUCGGCGAGCUUAGGCGCGGCGUGGACCAUGUCCUGGAGCGUGCCGAGUUUCAUGAUGCACAGCCGCAGCCGCAGCGCCUCCAGACAUGGGAACGCGACGCCCCGGGGUGGAUCCAAUCUGGACAAGGAGUUGAGGGGCUCGAGUAUGCAGCCCCUGAGAUCGAGGAUUCGCAGUGCCACGAACGGCAGCGAGUCCAGCGGCAGCGAGCACAACUCCAGGAACAAGGCACACGACGUGAAUGGCGGCCAGGCGCCAUCUUUGCAGUCGAGGCGGAGCUCCUCCACGCGCUCAUCGCCGCCGCAGGCCCAGCGCACGAUCUCUUCGUCCAUGGGCUCAUCCCUCAUAACGACGGCGAUCUUCGUGGGAACGCGCCCGUGGGAGCGGUGGCGGGCGAGCGCGUGGCCGGCGUCCUCCACCGCUCGACACUGGAGAGGAAUUAGUAAGCCGCCGCCGGUCGUGUAGGAGCGGUAGUCGAGGUUGAUGGCGCCCGUUUCGAGCCACAGUGGUCGGCGCCAUCUGUGCGAGAGAGCGGUGGUGCGGGCGGCCUCCCUGGCCGGGGCGAAGGAGAGGAUGUGGCGGAGCAAGUCGUCGGAGAGAACGGACAGGCGGUCCGACGCCGCGGCGGCCAUCUAAGAAGAUCUAUUUUUUUUUCUAUAGAAGAAGAUCAAAUUUUGUUAAGGCUCUCUGAAGGCUGCAUUCUUUCCGUCAUAAUUUUCUCAACCAGAUGAUUCGAUUGCUACGACGGAAGAUCUCAGAGAGAGAAAGAAAAACAACAGAUUCGAUAGGUUUGUUUAACGCUUGGCAUUAGUUGACACGUUCAGUUGGAAGGAUACACCUUUUUUUGCGGAUACACUUGAUAGGAUACAUUGAUUAGAAGAACAGAACUCGGCCCUCGGCAUUGCUCCACUUGCCUUCAAGAUGAAGACGCACUCAACCACAUUCUCAUCCAAUAUAUAUACGUGUGGGAGGUAUAUAUGGCACAUUUGCUUUGGGACCAUCAAUCUCAAUAUUAUCAGACCGGGCCAUAACCACAUGCACAUUUCUUGGUAGGAGAUGGCCAGGAGUAGCAUCACUGCGGCCAAUGGGAGGGGUUACGACACUUUGGUCAUCGCCAUCACUUGGUCUCUUUGGAAACAAUGCAACGCGAGGGUUUUUGAUAGGAUGGCUCAGAUUAGGUGCCCAAGAUUACUUGCUGCCCAAGUGUUAGAGGAAAUCAAGGAAUGGAACCUUGCAGGCAUUGGUCGUUUACAACGUAUUGUGAGAGAAUAGCCUUAAGUAUUUGUUAGGUGUGUGUGAUGGGGUUUGUAAGUGUUCGCACUUUCCAGACUCUUCUUGUAAAUCUUUUGCUCUCUUUUAUAAACAUCUAGUACGCUUUUGACCUACUCUCAAAAACAAAAAAAAAGAAUAAAGGGAGGCUUUACCGAAAAAGGCUUUCGCCCCGUAUUAUAUAUAAAGCAAUUAGGGGUGGGCAUAAAAACCGAGAACCGAAGACCGGAGCCGAAAAAGCCGAGACCGAAGCCGAAAAUACCGAGAACCGAAGCUUCGGUUGUUUGCCCGGUCAGCAUACCUGAGAAACCGAAAUUGCUUCGGUGAAUUCGGUCAUUCCAGUCUGUUGACCGAAUCACCCGAAUUAACCGAAAUGCUAUGUUGUAUUAAAGCCCAGCGUACAAAGGCCAACAGCCCAUCCAAGUUCGUAAGAGUCCAACCACUACACGACGUUUUUUUAGCCUUAUCUCUGCCACAAACACGCACAACUCCUGCAUCUUAUCUUGUAUUGGUUCGAGGCUUCACGCACGUACGUCACGAAGCGCAGGCGUCUCCGCUUCCGAUCCCCACCUUGCGCAAAAACUAGCGGCGACCGAUGCGCGCCUGCGGCCAUGGCUCCUGCGCGGUGGCGCGGCGGCGGCCGGCGGUGCCCAUGGCUCCUGCACGGUGGUGGACGGCGGCGCCCAUGGCUCCUGUUCGGUGCCCGACGACGUCCAUUGCUCCGAUGUGGUCUUGGGCUCAGCCGGCUAUACCGUUUUCUUUGUAUCAGUCCCCACAACCAUGUACACUAUGUAUGUUCGGAUUGAUUUUUGUCUGCUUGUUCUUGUUUUCUCCAUGAUUUGACUCGUGAUUUCUUCCUCUCCUACCAACACUGGGUCUCUUCGGUUACAACCGAGGACCGAACCGAAUUCUGAGCGGACCGAAGUGUCGGUCAUUGAUUUUUCCAAAGACCGAUCGGUCAGCCAAACCAGGAAACCGAAUUUGUAUAUCAACCGAAGCACCGAACCGAACUACUCGGUUUAACCGAAUGCCCAGGCCUAAAAGCAAUGACCGACCACAACUCAGAUACAAACGCACGCCACCACAACAUACGCACACGCCCAAGGCGGAUACGUAGACGUUGAGCGCAGCAACACUAUCCCUAAUACUACAAGAGCACCGGAGUCCUCAACUGUGGACACGUCAACGUGAAGAGAAGAAGCCACAUAUGACGAACCGUGUGCUCCAAGACGGCGCCUUCAGGAAGGUUACGACACCAGAGUGCCGUCACCGCCCGACCCGAGGAUCAGAGUUUCCCCUGGAGCAACACGACGGGCAAUGAGAGCCGCGACGACGCCUUCAAGAAGGGAGCGAGCUUCGCCGCCGCCAGUCCGUCCGAAGAUAGAUCAGGUUUUCACCCCGGCCAACACUCACCACCGGACGCCACAUCCCAUUGACCACGUGUAACACCCCGGAUUCGAUGCGCCAGGUAUCUGCCAGUUAUUCGCCGUAGUUGCCAUGUCAUUUGCUUGCGUGUUGCAUUUUAUCAUGUCAUCAUGUGCAUUGCAUUGCAUACGUGUUCGUUUCUCGCAUCCGAGCAUUUUUCCCGGUUGUCCGUUUUGCAAUCCGACACUCCCAUGUCAUCCGGCGUCCCCUUCUUGUCUCUUUUCUUGAGCGGGUUUUAAACAUUCUCGGAAUGGACUGGGGUUUGCCAAGCGGCCUUGGUACACCACCGGUAGACCGCGUGUCAAGUUUCGUGCCAUUUGGAGUCCGUUUGAUACUCCAACGGUUAACUGCGUAACCCGAAACCUCUUUCUCUUUGCAGCCCAACACCCCCAAAGUGGCCCAAAACCCAGCAAACUCCCCUCCAUGCUCUCGGUCGUUCGAUCACGAUCGCGUGGCCGAAAACCGCACCUUAUUUGGACUCUUCUAGCUCCCUCUACCUAUAAAUAUGGGCCCCUCCCGAAUUUUUCGCGCAGAUGAAACCCUAGCCCUCCCCUUCCUCGCGCCGCCGGACAUGUCCGCCCGCAGCCGGACAUGUCCGCCGCCUCCCGCAACCAACCGCUCGCCGCCACGUGUCCCCGCCGCCGUCCUCCACCGCGCGCCGCCGUCGCGGCCCGAGGGAGCCCUGAUCGGGCUCGCCCCGGGCCAGAUCNNNNNNNNNNNNNNNNNNNNNNNNNNNNNNNNNNNNNNNNNNNNNNNNNNNNNNNNNNNNNNNNNNNNNNNNNNNNNNNNNNNNNNNNNNNNNNNNNNNNNNNNNNNNNNNNNNNNNNNNNNNNNNNNNNNNNNNNNNNNNNNNNNNNNNNNNNNNNNNNNNNNNNNNNNNNNNNNNNNNNNNNNNNNNNNNNNNNNNNNNNNNNNNNNNNNNNNNNNNNNNNNNNNNNNNNNNNNNNNNNNNNNNNNNNNNNNNNNNNNNNNNNNNNNNNNNNNNNNNNNNNNNNNNNNNNNNNNNNNNNNNNNNNNNNNNNNNNNNNNNNNNNNNNNNNNNNNNNNNNNNNNNNNNNNNNNNNNNNNNNNNNNNNNNNNNNNNNNNNNNNNNNNNNNNNNNNNNNNNNNNNNNGCCCCGCGGGGCCCCUCCUCGCCGAGAGCCGCCACCGGACCUCCGCGUCGCGCCGCUCCAAGCUCGCCGCCGGCCGGAUCCGGCCAGAUCCAGUCCGGGGCCGCCUCGCCGUUGCCUCCUCGGCCUCCUCCAACCUCCCCUUCAUCUUCUCCGGCCACCCCCGGUGAACUCCGUCCAGAUCCUCUGCCGCAUCGUUUUCUGUGCCGGCCCAAGGUUGACCCCCGAAUUUUCCCCAAGUCCCUGAUAUUUUGACAUUUUAUGCCUCUGUUCAUUACAUCAUAACUCCGCAUCUGUGGCUCUGUUUUGGGCGUGUAGCAUAUCAAAAUGUUCGCCAUGAGAUGCUCUUCAUUUCAUUCCAUUAUGCCAUGCUCGUUUGAGUCCAUCUUGAUGCCCGAAUCAUCGUUGCAAGAGUGCUAUAUGAUGUUAAUCUGCUGAAACUGUUACAACUUGGUGAUUUGUCAUUUCUGUUGCAUUUUGUGUGUGCAUCUUAUGGGCAUGAACUCUACAUGUGUUUUGUACUAUAUCAUGCCAUCAUUAGAGGGGUGCCAUCCAUGUAGAUUUGUGAGUUGUGUAGUUAGUGCAUCAAGCUCGUGAAGUAGGGUACUUGCUGUUGCUGUUUUGCUAGGCUGAAUCUGCUAUAUUGUGAUGCUAUGUAAACCUACUUCUACAAGUCAUUCUAUGCAUAAUCUGGAGAUGUUCAAUAAGGAUGUUUUGUUAUACAUGUCAUGCUAUAUCCAUUCAUGCCCCUGGUUAUAUUUAUAGCCUAAUGUAGCUUGUUGUAAUCUUGCUCCCAAGUUGCUAAAUAAUGUUGCUGUCAGCCUGUUAACAUUGAGUUCAGUUUUGCCAUGAACUUUGCUAGUGAUCCAUGCACCCUAUGAACUUGUUCUUGCCAUGUAUAGCUUCAUAAACAUGUCUUCUUAGUGUUAGUCAGCUUGUCAUGCCAUUUAUCGCUCUGUGGUGAGUUGUACAAACUCACCAACAUGCCUACUUAACGUUGUUCCUGCCAUGCCUUGUUUGCUGAAUCUGUUAACGAAACUUGCCAUGUUUACAUGGGUGCCAUUAUAUCUUCUGAUCCUUUUUGGCUCAUGGUCAGUAAAAGACUUUUGUUCUAUGCAAUUAGUAGGUUCAUUCCAUGCCUUUGUUUGUCAUGAUAAGAUCCUGUAACAUGUUGUUUGAUAGCUCUAAACAUUGCAACCCGUUGUUAUUUCUGCUAAGUCUGAAACUGUUAGUAUUUGCAAUCUCGCCAUGUCUUUUUGAGCAUGUUCUAGUAUUUUCUGGAGAUAGCUCAGUGUUCAUGUUUUGUUAUGCUUUAUCUGUACAUAAUGUCCAUGCCUUUUGUUUUUAUGUUAAGGUGAUGUAGCAUGUUGUUUUGAUGCUUGCAAGAUGCCUAGUUGCUGUUUUGGACAGCUUGUCCUUUAAACUUGUAUAGAGUAUGUGUUGAACCGUUGCUCCGUUUUGAGUGUGCUCUAUAUGAAACUUGCUUGAUUUUGUAUGUAGCUUCAUAUUAUCAUGUUGCGUCCUUGUUUGAGGUGUUUGCUUGAUGUUUCUAUGCAUUUUGCAUCAAUGCCAUGUUUAACUUGCUUUGCUCAUAUCUUCUAGGCCGUAGCUCCGAACUAAAUGAACUUUAUAUGUAACUUGACUAGAAUCUCGUGUGGAUCCUCUUGGUGCUCUUUAACUUGCUGUUUAACAACUUGAACAUAAGGUUUAUUCAGAUUUGGACCAAUUUCGAAACUUGCAUAUGAGGACUUACCGGAAUUGUUAUAUGUUGUUUCCGGCCUCAUUUAAACUUGCUUUGAUGUGUUGCUCUUGUAUGCAUCAUCUGUUGCCAUGAGUAGCUUCAUGUAGCCUUGUCAUGCAUCAUGCUUGGUUGUGCAUCAUGUCUUGUAUAUGUGUGGUGUGUUUACCAUGUUGUGUGCUUCUCUCGAUAGUUCCCGUUUCGUUGCGAUCGUGAGGAUUCAUUCGUCUACGCUUGGUUCGUCUUCAUGGCUUCAUCUUCUUCAGACUCGUUCUUCUUCCUAGCAGGAUUUCAGGCAAGAUGACCGUCACCUUGGAUCUCACUACUAUCAUUGCUAUGCUAGUUGCUUCGUUCUAUCGCUAUGCUGCGCUACCUAUCUUUUGCUCUUCAAGCCUCCCAAAUUGCCAUGUCAGCCUCUAACCUUUUUCACCUUUCCUAGCAAACCGUUGUUUGGCUAUGUUUCUGCUUUGCUCAGCCCCUCUUAUAGUGUUGUUGGUUGCAGGUGAAGUUGAAGAUUGCUCCAUGGUGGACAGGAUUAUGUUGGGAUAUCACAAUAUCUCUUAUUUAAUUAAUGCAUCUAUAUACUUGGUAAAGGGUGGAAGGCUCGGCCUUAUGCCUGGUGUUUUGUUCCACUCUUGCCGCCCUAGUUUCCGUCAUAUCGGUAUUAUGUUCCCGGAUUUUGCGUUCUUUACGCGGUUGGGUGAUUUAUGGGACCCCGUUGACAGUUUGCUUUGAAUAAAACUCCUCCAGCAAGGCCCAACCUUGGUUUUACCAUUUGCCUCACCAUCACCUACUUUUCCCUUGGGAGUCGCUCUCUCGAGGGUCAUCUUUAUUCAGCCCCUCGGGCCAAUGCUUCUCUAAGUGUUGGUCCGAACCAGAGCCCUUUGCAGCGCCCCCUCAGGGAAACUUGAGGUCUGGUUUUAGUUGCACGGAUUGCUCAUCCGGUGUUGCCCUAAGAACGAGAUAUGUGCAGCUCCUAUCGGGAUGUCGGCGCAUCGGGCGGUCUUCUUGGUCUUGUUUUACCAUUGUUGAAAUGUCUUGUAAACCGGGAUUCCGAGUCUGAUCGAGUCUUCCUGGGAGAAGGAAUAUCCUUCCUUGACCGUGAGAGCUUGUGAUGGGCUAAGUUGGGACACCCCUGCAGGGUAUAAACUUUCGAAAGUCGUGCCCGCGGUUAUAUGGCAGAUGGGAAUUUGUUAAUGUCCGGUUGUAGAUAACUUGACACCAGAUCCGAAUUAAAACGCAUCAACCGCGUGUGUAGCCGUGAUGGUCUCUUUUCGGCGGAGUCCAGGAAGUGAACACAGUUUUGGGUUAUGUUUGACAUAAGUAGGAGUUCGGGAUCACUUAUUGAUCAUUGCUAGCUUCACGACCGUUCCGUUUGCUCUCUUCUUGCUCUUAUUUGCGUAUGUUAGCCACCAUAUAUGCUUAGUCGCUGCUGCAACCUCACCACUUUACCCCUUCCUUUCCCUUUAAGCUUUGCUAGUCUUGAUACCCAUGGUAAUGGGAUUGCCGAGUCCUUGUGGCUCACAGAUUACUACAACAACAGUUGCAGGUACAGGUUGUGCGAUGAUCAUGACGCGAGAGCAAUGAUUGCUUGUUUUGGAGUUCUUCUUCUGCUUCUUCUUCUAUCAGAGGAUAGGUUCCAGGUCGGUAGCCUGGGCUAGCAGGAUGGAUGUCGUUUGAGUUUCUGUUUGUGUUUCAUCCGUAGUCGGAUGGUGCUCUUAUGUAUGAUGAUGUUGUAUUGGUGUGGCAUUGUAUGCCUUUUGUAUGUAUCCCCAUUCAUUAUGUAAUGUUGAUGUAAUGAUAUCCACCUUACAAAAGCGUUUCAAUAUGCGGGUCUAUCCUUGGUGGGACCUUCGAGUUCCUUUUAGAUAGGGUCGCAUAUUGGGCGUGACAAGUUGGUAUCAGAGCCUCGCCCGACCAUAGGAGCCCCCUUGAUUGUUGGCCGUUGUUGAGUCUAGAAGAAAACUAUUUUGAGUCUUAGGAUUAUAUAUAUCGGAGAGUAGGAUUCUUUUUACUCCUCAGCCCCCUUCAUCGCUCUGGUGAGGACUCCUAACAUAGAUGUUUUGUCUUUCCUCUCCUCAAAUUUCACUAAAUUUUUUUAGGAUCACGCGGGUAUCUUGGAAUCGUUCCGAUGGUUUUGUGAUGAGAACAUUGUUCUCGGUGCCUCCUGACAUUUAGGGGUUGUGGCAGUGUCCCGGGGAGUUGAGCUCCGAGGUGUUGUCGUCACAAUUUUAUCGUUGCAGUUCUGGAAUACCUGAGUUUUGCCGACAUCAAAAAUCUCUUUUAUGCAGUUGUUGGUGAGAUAACCUCGACAUCACCCAGUACUGGGGAGUUCGGGAGUAUUGCCAUAGCUCAUAUAACGGAUGUUUUUAGAAGGUUGAGGUACACAAUUUCUGAAGGUUUCUUGGUUAUGUGUUGAUGGAUGGAUACAUCUUGGAUGUAGGCAUUGUUAGUUUGGAUGAGAUAUAUUGCUUCCCCUGUAUCCCCAACACCAGAUUGCAUAACCACAAAGUUUUGGGAGUUUUAUAGGUGGGAACUCAAGUAGCUCCUAGAAUAUCUUUCCGACAGAUGCAUGAUAUGAGAUUGGGGUUCGACGUCUAGUGGUACGCCUAUCCACGGUCAUUUUUACAGUGGUCUCGUUGUGUCUUAAAGAGCCCUUGGCUAUGCCGGUUCAGGGACACUUCGUAUGUCAUGUGCACCGCCUUGUACAUGAUGGUGCUGUAUGAUCGAGCCCGUGUGGGCCCCACCAUGAAAACUUCGGACGAAAUCUCUAUCAUAUGUUUGUUCCGGCUUAUUCUGCAAGCCAAAUCCUUUGUUUUGUUUUAUUUGUGGUAUUCGAGUUGCUUCGAAGUCAAAUGUUGAAUCCAUACCUUUCCUAAACGGUGUUCUCAUAUUGCUAUGUGAAUACUAGUCCUUUUGAUCAUUGAGGUUGUCAUGUUAAUUCUUUUCCAACCGGUGUGCUUCUCUUCGAGAUGAUCCCAUCAUUCUCCCCAUCCGCAAGAUCAAUUCUAAGUUUUCUCAACGGUGUUUGUUUCGUUCAUCCCAAGUUGUCUUUGUUUUUCCCCACCCUCCCACCCUUUUCUUGAAGGACUCAUUUAUUUUAAUCAAGAAUCCAUUUAUUCAUGUGAAGUCACUUCACUCUUUUCAAUCAAUGUUCUGAUCCGGUGAUCCCUCGGGAAGAUGCUCACGAGCUUCAAGUUUGUCAUCCUUCGUUCUUUUUUCUUCUCCGGUGGAUCCAAUUCAAGCUUUCAGUGUUGAUCAUAUUCCUUUCCUCGUGUCAAAUGCUUUCUCAUGCAUGUGCACCUCUCAAUCACUCACCUCUUGCUAUUCAUUUGUUCCAGAGUGUUGAAGACAUCUCGAAAGAUCUGUGUUUCCAUUCUCUAUCUGUUCAAGUCAUUUUGAGGUUUUUCUCUCACUCAAGCUAUUUAAUUCUACCGGUGCAAUAUCUAUUUUAAGUAAUCCUUCAACGAUGGUUCUUUCGAGUGGGCCCUAACCCACAGGUCUUUUCCCAGAAUCUUACCCGACUCUUCUAAUUUCCCGGAGCUAUUCUCAAAUCCUUUUAGGAGUUUGACGUAAGAAUGGAUCCCAUUAGUCAGAUGCCUUUCCAAGAUCGGUUUCAAACAUUUUCAUUGUUGGCUCAACCCCUUCGCUUUUCAUUCUCCCGGAGUAUCUCAGUAAUUUUGGUGGUGUUUCUCGUCAUCAUUUGAAGAUCGAAGAAGAGUUUUCCUCUAAAUCUUGUCCAUUUUCCUGGAGAUUCAUGGUGCGAGCUUGAUGUUAUCCUCUCAAAUUGUUUUUCCAGUCGUGCAAAUUAUUUUCAUCCAUCCGGAGCAUUUCAGGAGUUGCUUUCUCUCUAGAUCAUCCGGAGGUCAUCUUUUCGGAAUAUUUCUUCGCUCUAAGUUGUCGAAUUCGUUCUCCAAUUAUUUUAUAUCCGUGCCCCUUCGCUCGUCUCAAUAUUCUUCUGGUGCUUCGUUCAAGUACUCUUUAAUCAGCUCAUGAUCUCUUUGUUCUUUUGCAUCUAAAUCCCAUCUAGCAUAUUUGUUCUUCUAAUUCUUCCCAGUGAUUCAUUCUCUUUCAUUAGUCAUUUUCGAAUUCUUACGGUGGUUCGUUCAAGAUUCUUUUUCCUUGUUUAUGAUAUCAAUUUAUUCGUUCUUUCCAAUACUACCGGUGGUUCAUGAAGACUUUCUCAAGUUUUUGCUAUGUUCCCCCUUAAUCCUUUUUCAAGAAGAAUAAGUAGUAUGCCAAAUCCAUUGCUUGUCAUCAAUUUAAUUUGAUGAAGGAUAAGCAUAUAAUAAAUCUUAUUCUUAUUUCAUCGAGGUGAUUCAAUUCUUUUCUUCCGAAGAUUGUUCAUGAUGAAGUAAUUCACGGUUCUAGUGUUUCAUCUUUUCCUUUUCCGGAGUUCCAAGUUUUCUCGGUUAUAUCGUUGCAAAGCUUCAUCUAAAUCAUCGCAAGGCUUCACCUUGUGUUUUCAACUUCUCUUUUUUUUUAUCAUCCUUUUAUUACCAGAGUUUUUCAUGGAGGCUCUACAUGGUGGUUCGUCAAGGAUUCUUUUCAUUAUUCAAUUGUUCUUCAACAUUUCUCUCGAAGUUAUGACCCUCCAAGCUAUACUCUAAAUAAACAUGGUGCCCAACACAUGUUUUGUUUUGAGGAGUUCAAGCAUUCUUCAUCUUGCAUCCGAAGUGCAAGUAUUCCUACCUUAUCUUGUGAGAUGGUGAUAUGUCACUCUUGACAAUUUCCUUCAUGUUUCAUGAUUCAUAUGUUGUCAAGAAUGAGGUAUUUUAAAUCCAUUAUUUUCUCUUUGUUCAAGAGAUCUUUUCGACCAAUCAACUUCUUCGUUGGAGUUAUCUUGUGUCAGAUUUCACCUAAAGCCUUUCCUUAAGGGUUGUUGCUAUUUGUGGUGAUUAUGCAUGACCCAAGCUUGCUCUUUAUCCUCUUGGUGGAAGAAGUUUUCAUCUCUUUGGUGCUCUCAAUCAAAUCAAUGGUUUCCAUUACUGGCCGGUUCUCACCUCAUAGUCUUGAGAUGUUUUCCAUAAGCCCACUACAAGCUUAUUCUUUUCGUUGUUGGUUUUGCAACAACUCCGUUCAAUCCUUCUUUGUUAAGGAUGCUUUCCAAGUUCAUUUGUGGCAGAAUAUGUCUUUUUCUUUUCCGUCCCUUUAUCCCAACAAUCUAGCUUCUAUUCUUUCGUUCCGGAGGCAUUGUGAUGUUGCUCUCUUCACCCAUCACCCCGUUUUUGUCAAGAUCACGUUUUUUCAUGCUUAUCCUUUUAACCGGAGUGUUGUGUCAUCUCUUCAAGUUCUUUUCAUCUUAUCAAGUUUUCCUUCUUCUUUCAGUUGGAGUGCUGCCCAAAUUUUAUCAAUCUUAUUCCUUCUCUAUCUAGUUUUAACCGGAGUGGUUUCAAUAUCUAUCUUAUCACUAAAUCUCUUGGUUCUCGUUGUAUCCCUUGUUCCUCUUUUCUAACGGAGUAUUUUCAACUUUGCUCAUCUUUGUUGUAUUCUUCCUUUCAUUUUGCUCAACCUCUCAAGGUUCUUUGGCUUUACUCUCUUGUCGAAGAAGCAACUUAGUUUACCUCUUAUCUUCCUCUUUCUUUUCCCUUCGGUGCCAUCCUAGAUCUCAGGACGAGAUCUCUUGUUAGUGGAGGAGUGUUGUAACGCCCCGGAUUCGAUGCGCCAGGUGUCUGCCAGUUAUUUGCCGUAGUUGCCACGUCAUUUGCUUGCGUGUUGCAUUUUAUCAUGUCAUCACGUGCAUUGCAUUGCAUACGUGUUCGUUUCUCGCAUCCGAGCAUUUUUCCCCGUUGUCCGUUUUGCAAUCCGGCACUCCCAUGUCAUCCGGCGUCCCCUUCUUGUCUCUUUUCGUGAGCGGGUUUUAAACAUUCUUGGAAUGGACCGAGGUUUGCCAAGCGGCCUUGGUACACCACCGGUAGACCGCCUGUCAAGUUUCGUGUCAUUUGGAGUCCGUUUGAUACUCCAACGGUUAACCACGUAACCCGAAACCUCUCUGUCUUUGCAGCCCAACACCCCCCAAAGUGGCCCAAAACCCAGCAAACUCCCCUCCAUACUCUCGGUCAUUCGAUCACGAUCGCGUGGCCGAAAACCGCACCUCAUUUGGACUCUCCUAGCUCCCUCUACCUAUAAAUAUGUGCCCCUCCCGAAUUUUCCGCGCAGAUGAAACCCUAGCCCUCCCCCUCCUCGCACCGCCGGACAUGUCCGCCCGCAGCCGGACAUGUCCGCUGCCUCCCGCAGCCAACCUCUCGCCGCCACGUCUCCCCGCCGCCGUCCUCCACCGCGCGCCGCCNNNNNNNNNNNNNNNNNNNNNNNNNNNNNNNNNNNNNNNNNNNNNNNNNNNNNNNNNNNNNNNNNNNNNNNNNNNNNNNNNNNNNNNNNNNNNNNNNNNNNNNNNNNNNNNNNNNNNNNNNNNNNNNNNNNNNNNNNNNNNNNNNNNNNNNNNNNNNNNNNNNNNNNNNNNNNNNNNNNNNNNNNNNNNNNNNNNNNNNNNNNNNNNNNNNNNNNNNNNNNNNNNNNNNNNNNNNNNNNNNNNNNNNNNNNNNNNNNNNNNNNNNNNNNNNNNNNNNNNNNNNNNNNNNNNNNNNNNNNNNNNNNNNNNNNNNNNNNNNNNNNNNNNNNNNNNNNNNNNNNNNNNNNNNNNNNNNNNNNNNNNNNNNNNNNNNNNNNNNNNNNNNNNNNNNNNNNNNNNNNNNNNNNNNNNNNNNNNNNNNNNNNNNNNNNNNNNNNNNNNNNNNNNNNNNNNNNNNNNNNNNNNNNNNNNNNNNNNNNNNNNNNNNNNNNNNNNNNNNNNNNNNNNNNNNNNNNNNNNNNNNNNNNNNNNNNNNNNNNNNNNNNNNNNNNNNNNNNNNNNNNNNNNNNNNNNNNNNNNNUGCCUCUCCUCCUGCAGGCGCCUAGCACCGCUGGCCGCCGGACCGCGCCCCGCGGGCCCCCUCCUUGCUGAGAGCCGCCGCAGGACCUCCGCGGCGCGCCGCUCCAAGCUCGCCGCCGGCCGGAUCCGGCCGUUGCCUCCCUGGCCUCCGCCGACCUCCCCUUCGUCUUCUCCGACACCUCCGGCGAACUCAGGCCAGAUCCGCCGCCGCAUCGUUUUCCGUGCCAGCCCAAGGUUGACCCCCGAAAUUUCCCUAAGUCCCUGAUAUUUUGACAUUUUAUGCCUCUGUUCAUUGCAUCAUAACUCCGCAUCCGUGGCUCCAUUUUGGGCGUGUAGCAUAUCAAAAUGUUCGUCAUGAGAUGCUCUUCAUUUAAUUCCACUAUGCUAUGCUUGUUUGUGUCCAUUUUAAUGCCCGAAUCAUCAUUGUAAGAGUGCUAUAUGAUGUUAUCUGCUGAAACUGUUACAACUUGGUGAUUUGUCAUUUUUGUUGCAUUUUGUGUGUGCAUCUUAUGGGCAUGAACUCUACAUGUGUUUUGUACUACAUCAUGCCAUCAUUACAUGGAUGCCAUCCAUGUAUUUUUGUGAGUUGUGUAGUGAGUGCAUCAAGCUCGUGAAGUAGGAUACUUCCUGUUGCUGUUUUGCUAGGCUGAAUCUGAUAUAUUGUGAUGCUAUGUAAACCUGCUUCUACAAGUCAUUCUAUGCAUAAUCUGGAGAUGUUCACUAAGGAUGUUUUGUUAUACAUGUCAUUUUCUAUCCAUUCAUGCCCCUGGUUGCAUUUAUAGGCUGUUGUAGCUUGUUGUAAUCUUGCUCUCAAGUUGCUAAAUAAUGUUGCUGUCAGCCUGUUAACAUUAAGUUCAGUUUUGCCAUGAGCUUUGCUAGUGAUCCAUGCACCCUAUGAACUUGUUCUUGCCAUGUAUAGCUUCAUAAACAUGUCUUCUUACUGUUAGUCACCUUGUCAUGCCAUGUAUUGCUCUGUGGUGAGUUUUAUAAGCUCACCAACAUGCCUACUUAUCGUUGUUCCUGCCAUGCCCUGUUUGCUGGAUCUGUUAACGAAACUUGCCAUAUUUACAUGGGUGCCAUCAUAUCUUCUGAUCCUUUUUGGCUCAUGGUCAGUAAAGGACUUUUGUUCUAUGCAAUUAGUAGGUUCAUUCCAUGCCUUUGUUUGCCAUGAUAAAAUCCUGUAACAUGUUGUUUGAUAGCUCUAAACAUUGCAACCUCAUGUUAUUUCUGCUAAGUCUGAAACUGUUAGUAUUUGCAAUCUUGCCAUGUCUUUUUGAGCAUGUUCUAUUGUUUUCUGGAGAUAGCUCAGUGUUCAUGUUUUGUUAUGCUUUAUCUGUACAUAAUGUCCAUGCCUUUUGUUUUUAUGUUAAGGUGCUAUAGCAUGUUGUUUUGAUGCUUGCAAGAUGCCUAGUUGCUGUUUUGGACAACUUGUCCUUUAAACUUGUAUAGAGCGUAUGUGUUGAACCGUUGCUCCGUUUUGAGUGUGCUCUAUAUGAAACUUGCUUGAUUUUGCAUGUAGCUUCAUAUUAUCAUGUUGCAUCCUUGUUUGAGGUGUUUGCUUGAUGUUUCUAUGCAUUUUGCAUCAAUGCCAUGUUUAACUUGCUUUGCUCAUAUCUUCUAGUCCGUAGCUCCGAACUAAAUGAACUUUAUAUGUAACUUGACUAGAAUCUCGUGUAGAUCCUCUUGGUGCUCCUUAACUUGCUGUUUAACAACUUGAACUUAAGGUUUAUUCAGAUCUGGACCAAUUUCAAAACUUGCAUAUGAGGACUUACCGGAAUUGUUAUAUGUUGUUUCCGGCCUCAUUUAAACUUUCUUUGAUGUGUUGCUCUUGUAUGCAUCAUCCCUUGCCAUGAGUAGCUUCAUGUAGCCUUGUCAUGCAUCAUGCUUGGUUGUGCAUCAUGUCUUGUAUAUGUGUGGUGUGUUUACCAUGUUGUGUGCUUCUCCCAGUAGUUCCUGUUUUGUUACGAUCGUGAGGAUUCGUUCGUCUACGCUUGGUUCGUCUUCAUGGCUUCAUCUUCUUCAUGGACUCAUUCUUCUUCCUAGCGGGAUUUCAGGAAAGAUGACCGUCACCUUGGAUCUCACUACUAUCGUUGCUAUGCUAGUUGCUUCGUUCUAUCGCUAUGCUGCGCUACCUAUCUUUUGCUCUUCAAGCCUCCCAAAUUGCCAUGUCAGCCUCUAACCUUUUUCACCUUUCCUAGCAAACCGUUGUUUGGCUAUUUUCCGCAUUGCUCAGCCCCUCUUAUAGCGUUGUUAGUUGCAGGUGAAGUUGAAGAUUGCUCCAUGGUGGACAGGAUUAUGUUGGGAUAUCAUAAUAUCUCUUAUUUAAUUAAUGCAUCUAUAUACUUGGUAAAGGGUGGAAGGCUCGGCCUUAUGCCUGGUGUUUUGUUCCACUCUUGCCGCCCUAGUUUCCGUUAUAUCGGUAUUAUCUUCCCGGAUUUUGCGUUCCUUACGCGGUUGGGUGAUUUAUGGGACCCCCUUGACAGUUCGCUUUGAAUAAAACUCCUCCAGCAAGGCCUAACCUUGGUUUUACCAUUUGCCUCACCACCACCUACUUUUCCCUUGGGAGUCACUCUCUCGAGGGUCAUCUUUUUUCUGCCCCCCCGGGCCAAUGCUUCUCUAAGUGUUGGUCCGAACCAGAGCCCUUUGCAGCGCCCCCUCAGGGAAACUUGAGGUCUGGUUUUAGUUGUACGGAUUGCUCAUUCGGUGUUGCCCUGAGAACGAGAUAUGUGCAACUCCUAUCGGGAUGUCGGUGCAUCGGGCGGUCUUGCUGGUCUUGUUUUACCAUUGUCGAAAUGUCUUGUAAACCGGGAUUCCGAGUCUGAUCGGGUCUUCCUAGGAGAAGGAAUAUCCUUCAUUGACCGUGAGAGCUUGUGAUGGGCUAAGUUGGGACACCCCUGCAGGGUAUAAACUUUCGAAAGCCGUGCAUGCGGUUAUGUGGCAGAUGGGAAUUUGUUAAUGUCCGGUUGUAGAUAACUUGACACCAGAUCCGAAUUAAAACACAUCAACCGCGUGUGUAGCCGUGAUGGUCUCUUUUCGGUGGAGUCCGGGAAGUGAACACAGUUUUGGGUUAUGUUUGACGUAAGUAGGAGUUCUGGAUCACUUCUUGAUCAUUGCUAGCUUCACGACCGUUCCGUUUUCUAUCUUCUCGCUCUUAUUUGCAUAUGUUAGCCAUCAUAUAUGCUUAGUCGCUGCUGCAACCUCACCACUUUACCCAUUCCUUUCCCUUUAAGCUUUGCUAGUCUUGAUAUCAUGAUAAUGGGAUUGCUGAGUCCUCGUGGCUCACAGAUUACUACAACAACAGUUGCAGGUACAGGUUGUGCGAUGAUCAUGACGCGAGAGCGAUGAUUGCUUGUUUUGGAGUUCUUCUUCUGCUUCUUCUUUUAUCAGGGGAUAGGUUCCAGGUCGGCAGCCUGGGCUAGCAGGGUGGAUGUUGUUUGAGUUUCUGUUUGUGUUUCAUCCGUAGUCGGAUGGUGCUCUUAUGUAUGAUGAUGUUGUAUUGGUGUGGCAUUGUAUGCCUUUUAUAUGUAUCCCCAUUCAUUAUGUAAUGUUGAUGUAAUGAUAUCCACCUUACAAAAGCGUUUCAAUAUGCGGGUCUAUCUUUGGUGGGACCUUCGAAUUCCUUUUGGAUAGGGUCACAUAUUGGGCGUGACACCACGCCUCCCACAUGACCAUGGCCACGGGCAACACCUAACCACGGGCUCUGCCCAAGAGCUCCGCAGAGCCACCACCAGGGCCGCCGCCCUGGCAUCCAAGACCUGGACACCAGCUCACUCGAGACCCACCGCUACCCCAACCAAAGAUACAAGCGGAAAGGAACCGCUGUUUGCACCCCUGGGCUUCCCCCAACGCUGAAACCCAAAGGGCGGACAAAAUUGGCCUCCAUCAACCCGUCCUGCUGCCAGGCGCGAGACGAGCACGGUCCUGCUACCGGGCGCGAGACGAGGUCGGUCCUGCUGCCGGGCGUGAGACAAGGUGGGUCCUGCUGCCGGGCGCGAGAAGAGCUCGGUCCUGCUGCCGAGCGCGAGACGAGCGAUGGACCGCAGUCGGGGGAGGGCCGAACCUUCGACGAAGGCAGCAGCCAGACGACGAGGAGAGUGCCGAAGGUCGAAAUGGGCCGCCUACAGACGAGCCGACGCCAGAAAGCCAGCCGCCGCCCUAGUUGACCCGUCGAGCUGCCGUGGAGCCGUCACGGUGAAGCCACCCCGACGCCGCCGUCCACAGCUGGGACCGUAGCCACGCCAGGCCAGGGCCCCAAGCCCGCACCGCCGGUCGAAAAAAGGGCGGAAUCUGGCUGGCACACAUCACCACCACCGCCACCAUGCCGAUGAUGCCGUCAAGGCCUCCACCACAUGCAACCGCCCUGCCACCCACGCGGCCCAGGACGGCCAGCACUGCCGCAACUCGCCGACGGUGUGUGCCCAUCAUAUCCGAGCAAAGAUGCCCCGAUCCACGCCAAAAUGGCCAGCCGCCGCUCCUCCACCGCGAGGAAGAUAGAGAGGAGGGGGCGGCCGCUCACUGGGUCCACCACCCUAACAUCCAGUGCCGCCGCACUGCAAAAGAGGCCAGAGGGCCAGAUUCGUGGUGGCGCGCAGCUCCACGACACACGCCUCGCCGUCCAGGCCGGCCUCCGCACGCGACCAGAGAGAAAGGCCCGCCGCCGCCGGCAGUCGCACGGGCUUUGUCCGACGGGGGCGUCCGACGACGGCGAGGGGGAGGGAGUAGGAGGGGGUGGCGGCGGCGGCGGGGUUAGGUCACACGAGCUGCCCCCCUAGAGAGCGACACGUGUGUGUGGGUGUGUGGGGUGUGGGGGGGGGGAGCCCUAGAGGGAGGCUUCGAGAGCGCUAGCAUUGAGAGUUGCAGUACGGUUCCCUGACCCAGUAAAGAGCCUUUUCCUCGUUCUCGUCUCAGGUGGCCACCAUGGUGGUGGAAACAGAUGGGAGGAGAGGAUUAGUUUUAGUUUUCGCCAAUAGGAAAGGAGCACAUCUACUGGUGACGACAGAGGAGGUACGAUGCCUAUUGAUGCCUCUAGGCAGCGGCGACUAGCAGCAGGUCAUCAAAGUGAAGCUGUUGUAUCUUCUGGCCGAAUGGCGGCCGUUCGGAACUUCGGUGACUGUGGAUCGAUGUCGACUCCUCUUUUUCCUCCCGGCCUUAGCCAUAAGGGGAGGCGGUGCAAUCUGUGCUUGGAGUCUUUCAUCCUCUCCUCUAGUUUCAUCUGGAGUUGGCGGCAUGGAGGCGGGCUAGCCAUCCCAAGUGGUGCGUCCUCGGCGACGGCGAGCUCCUAUCCGAGCAAAAUUUGUCUUUUGGACCCAAUUGUAAUUUUGUAUUCCAAUUUGGGGUCCUCUUUGCAUAUGUUAUUGACAUGCUCGUCAUUUUCUUUCUGUUGGAGUCCCGUACUGAGCUUUUUCAGGCUCUAGGUCCUUCCGGACGCAUCCUCGUUAAAAAAACAUAGGUUAAUCAACUACGUAGCAGUUUUCCAUAUUUAUUUUUUUGCAAACAUCAGCUUUCCUGUCUGUUCUCUACCAGAAUGAUCACGGAAAUUUAGAGGAGUAUUUUUUCAGAAGUUAUCCUUAAAAGACAACCAAGUCUCUCAAAUAUACUCAAACGCCACGUCUAAAGAUUUUCGGUUGCUCCACACUCCAAACUCCGUCGCCCUCGAUUCCGACCGGAAUGGAACCAGAAGGUGACUCUGCUACCCCAUCGGCCACUGCCGCCAGCUCGCCGCAGCCAGAAUCACCCCCACCCCCCGUCGUCGCCCGUGUCGAGGAAGAGAUUGGGGACAAAAGCCUUGCUCGAGACAGACAGCAAAUGGACGACGAAGUUAAAGAUUGGUAGCAAGGCCCCAACAACCGUGAUGAUGCUCGGUGCCCUAUAGCUUCUCCGACCGGUGGCAAGCGGGCGAGGAAGUCAACGUAGGUGAAGAAGAAGAAAGCAGGCACGCAAACGGUUUGCCUACACCACCUCCUUCUCGUCCAGUGGCUCGUAGCCCCACUUCAGCCACCCCUACACCUCCUCCUCCAGCGCGUUUGGCCGCCACAACCAUGACCGAGGGCCAUGGUCGCCAAGUGCUCGAUGAUAUGCCAGAUAGGUAAUUUUUUUGCCUUUUCUUUUUUGGUUGACAGAUUGAUAUGAUUGUUUGUGACCAUGGAGUUUGAGCUUGUUGUUGUUGAAUGUAGUGUGGAGGGGGGGGGGGGUGUUGCAAUCUUCAUGUCUCAAUUACAUUUGUCACACAUCCAAGGCCUCUAGUGGUAGGUAUGCUCCAAAAGAACAUGUUGAUGAGAGUGAUGAUCCCGAUGUGGAGGAGGUCACGUGGAUACUCAAUCAAGCACCGAGAGGACACAAAACUACUCCCAAGAUCAGGACAUUGCUCUGUGCCAUGCUUGUAUGAAUGCGUCGCUUGAUGCAUCGGUUGGCACAGAUCAAACAAAGGAGAGAUAUUGGAGUAGUAUUGAAGACUCCUAUUGCAACACCAUGACAGUCUCAUCCAACCACACUCAAGACUCUCAUGGACACCGUCUGGCACCAUCCAAGAGCAAUGCAACCGGUGGUCCAGUUGUAUUGGUCAAGUCAACCAUGCACCAUUGAGUCGGAAAUUCACACGGGCACGCAGGUGUGGGGGCAUGCACCUGCCAAGUCCUGCCCGGCCGCUUGAUUGUCUUGCGAUUCGUGAAGUAGUUGGAUCCCACACGAGGGCAUGAUAAGUUUUAAGUUUUAAUAGUUGAAACUUACGAUUUUGCAUCUGAAAAUCUGAUUUACUCGAUCGCGAGUAUCAAGUUUCAGAAUUGAAACUUUAAGCGGGUUUUUUAUCGGUCACGGGUACUGAAGUCGUGAUUUUAUCAAACGCAUACACUAAGUUUAAAGAGUUGAAAGUUAACAAUUUUUUUCAAAAAUUUGUCAAAACAUAUUGAAAAUAGAUAUUAUUUGAAAGCCCUCAUUACAAAAAAUGCCAAUACAUUUUUUUGAUUUUAAAAUCGCCUUCAGCAACAAGUACACCUAUGAAAUAAUAGGUUAGUACGAAAACAUAACUUAAUUUGAAAUUUUUAUUCAAUAGAUAUGAAAGUUUGAACAUUUAAAGCCAAAAGAAAAAGCAUGUGCAAGGGACUAAGUGCCCCUGCACAUGCGUGCCCCAAAUCGCCCCCACCAUCGAGUGGGUGUGAAUCAAGGGGUAGCCUAUCAUCCAAGCCCUAUAAAAGCAACACAACAAGAAUAACGAUGGCAAGGCCUUCACAUUGCACCAUUGCUACAAGGAACUAGUUGGCAAUGAGAAGUGGAUCCGAAGGAACUUUGAGACCACACCAAAGUGAUCACGGAUUAACAUAUCCACUGAAGCCGGUGACGAGGAGGAUAAAAAUCCAUACAAAAGGUUGGAUGGGCCAAAUCUUCAAAAAGAGAGGAAUAACCAUGGAUGCGUCGGUGUCUAUAAGGAGGAGAUUUGUGCUAUGAUUGAGACCAAAAGUACAUUGGUGGCCGAAUGCAAAGAAGAGAAGGUGGCAAGGUGGAACGAGCUCAUGUGCUUGGAGCAAGAGAAGUCGAUAUCAAAGUUGGCGGCUAUUGAGUGGAAGAUGAAGGCGGAGGAGCGUAGGAAUGCUCUCGAGGAGGAGAGGCUUGCAAAAGGAAGAAGGCCAAAGAGAGGACUAUCAUGUUAAUGAACCCAUGCACAAUGGAUGCCAUGACAUGGGAGUAUUCAGAGCUCACUCAUGUGGAUAUCGGGGCCAAAUUGGAGGUCUCUCAUGGGGGUGAUGGUGGUGGUUGAGGAGGUGAUGGUGGUGGCCCUGUAGUGGUGAUGAUUUCCUUGGAGGUGAUGGUUGUGGUGAUGAGCACGAAAGUGCUUGAGUUUUGUACUGCAUGCCUUUGAUUCAAAUCGACCCAGACAUAAGACUGCUAUGUUGUGGUGAUUUUGGAUCAAACUUGAUUGGUGCAGUGCCUUUUUGAUGAGCUCUAUGCAUGUUUAAUUUGAAUUGCUCGAUUAGAUGAACUAUAUGCAUGCUUAUUGUUGAUUUGUUGUGUAUGUUCUGAAUGAAAUAUGCCCUAGAGGCAAUAAUAAAGUUGUUAUUUUAUAUUUCCUUAUUCGUGAUAAAGGUUUAUAAUUCAUGCUAGAAUUGUAUUGAUCGGAAACUUAAAUACAUGUGUGAAUACAUAAAUAAAUACCGUGUCCCUAGUAAGCCUCUACUAGACUAGCUCGUUGAUCAAAGAUGGUGAAGGUUUCCUAACCAUGGAAUGUGUUGUCAUUUGAUAAUGGGAUCACAUCAUUAGGAGAAUGAUGUGAUGGACAAGACCCAUUCGUUAGCUUAGCAUAAUGAUCGCUCGGUUUAUUGCUAUUGCUUUCUUCAUGCCAAAUACAUAUUCCUUCGACUAUGAGAUUAUGCAACUCCCGGAUACCGGAGGAAUGCCUUAUGUGCUAUCAAACAUCACAACAUAACUGGGUGAUCAUAAGGAUGCUCUACAGGUAUCUCUGAACGUGUUUGUUGAGUUGGCAUAGAUCAAGAUUAGGAUUUGUCACUCCGAAUAUCGGAGAGGUAUCUCUGGGCCCUCUGGGUAAUACACAUCAUAAGAAGCCUUGCAAGCAAAUGACUAAUGAGUUAGUUACGAGAUGUUGUAUUACGGAACGAGUAAACAGACUUGCCAGUAAUGAGAUUGAACUAGGUAUAGAGACACCAACGAUCGAAUCUCGGGCAGGUGAUACGUCUCCAACGUAUCUAUAAUUUAUGAAGUAUUGAUGCCAUGUUUACAACAAUUUUAUAUGAGUUUGGUAUGAUUUGCAUGGAACUAACUCGGACUGUGCUGUUUUCAGCAGAACUACCGAGGUGUUGUUUUUUGUGUAGAAAUGAAAGUUCUCCAAAUGAGCUGAAACUUUUCGAUGAUUUUUUUUGGAACAAAAGGGAUCCCCGAAGCUUCAUGGAAGGACCAGAAGGUGAAGGAGUAGUGCACAAAACACCGGGGCACACCUGGGCCCUUGCCCGUGACCGGGUGGGUUGUGCUCACCUCGAGGCCCAUCUUCGCAUGAAACUAACGCCAAAAAAUCCUAUAAAUAGAGAAACCAUCAGAAAUAACCCUAAAUCAGAAGUUCUGCCGCUGCAAGCCUUUGUAGACACGAAAAACCAAUCUAGACCCUAUUCUGGCACUCCGCCGGAGGGGGAGAUCAUCAUCGGUGGCCAUCUUCAUCAUCCCGACGGCCACCAUGAUGAGGAGGGAGUAGUCCACCCUCGGGGCUGAGGGUUUGCACCAGUAGCUAUGUGUUCAAUCUUUCUCUCUCUCUCUCUCUCUCUCUCUUCUGUUCUUGAGAUGUCACGAUCUUGAUGUAUCGCGAGCUUUGUUAAUAUAGUUGGAUCAUAUGGUGUUUUCCUCUCUCUAUCUUGUUGUGAUGACUUGAGUUUUCCCUUUGAGAUUUUGUUUUAUUGGAUUGCAUACUUUUAUGGAUUUGAGAACACUUGAUGUAUGUCUUACUAUGAAUACCAGUGGUGACGAUGGGGUAUCAUAUUGAUUCACUUGAUAUGUGUUUUGGCACUCAACUCGCGGAUUCCCGAGGUGACAUUGGGGUAAUCUAUGCAUAGGGGUUGAUGCACGUUCUCUUCUUUGUUUCUUCGAUAGAAAUCUUGGGGCACUCUUUGAGGUUCUUUGUGUUGGAUCGAGUAUUAUGAAUCUGAAUUUGUUUGGUGUAUAUCGUAUAAUCAACUCACGGAUACUCGCGGUGACAUUGGAGCACCUAUGUGACAUUAGAGUUGGUUGAUGUGUAUCAUAUGGUGUUAUUUUAGUACGAACUCUUGGUUAGAUCGAUCAGAAAGAAUAGCUUGGUGUUACUUUAGUACAAACUCUAGGAUAGAUUGAUCGGAAAGAAUAGCUUUGAGGUGGUUUCGUACCCUACAAACAAUUUCUUCUUAUGUUCUCCGCUAGAUAAGAACUUUGGAGUGAUUCUUCAUCACACUUUGAGGGAUGGUUAUAUGAUCCAAUUAUAUUAGCAUUGUUGAGAGAUUGCACUAGUGAAAGUACGGACCCUAGGCCUCAUUUUCUUGCAAUACCGUUUGUGCCCCAUUUUUAUCAAUUGCUACCUUGCUGUUUUUCAUUGUUCCUAUUACAAAAAUAAAUAUUUACUAUCAUUACUACGCUUUUAUUACCAUCUCUUCACCGAACUAGUGCACUUAUACAAAUUACCAUUGUAUUUGGUGUGUUGGGGACACAAGAGACUUUUUGUUAUUUGGUUGCAUGGUUGUUUGUGAGAGAACAUCUUCAUCCUACACCUCCCACGAAUUGAUAAACCUUAGGUCAUCCACUUGAGGGAAAUUUUCUAUUGUCCUAUAGAACUCUACGCUUGGAGACCCAACACGAGUCUACAAGAACAAGUUGUGUAGUAGACAUCAAGCUCUUUUCUGGCAACGUUGCCGGGGAGGUGAGUGCUUGAAGGUAUAUCUUUAGCUCUUGCAAUCAAAUCUUUUAGUUUCUUGUUUUAUCACUAGUUUGGUUUAUAAAAAGAAAACUAAAAAAUGGAAUUGAGGUUGCAUCAUAUUGUACAUCUUCAUAAUGUCUUUCGUGAAAAUUAUGGAAAGGAAAAUUAUGCUCAAUUGAUAGAAGAAGAAUUAAAUAGAAUGUUUGGCAUAAAUGAUGAGCAUGGUAGCAAUGUUGUUAGUAUGAAUUCUUUGAAUAUCCAUGAUGCUAAUGAUAUGCAAAUCUAUAAACUUGGGGAUGCUAUGUUUGAUGAAGAUGAUAUUUUAUUCCCCCAAGUUUUGAUGAGAAAUUUUUUUAUAAUGGUAGCAUGCCUCCUAUUUAUGAUGAUAACAAUGAUGAAUGUGGGUCUGGAAGAGUGUCAACUAUAGGUAAUGAUCCCACUAUUUUGGACCGUGUUGAAUCUUAUCACAAUGAUGAAAGUGGAUUUGGAGAGGUCGUGACUUUAUUUAGUGAUGAAUCCACUAUUUCGGAAGAGAUUUCAAUUGAUUAUGAGAAGAAAGUUUCUAUCUAUGAUGAUUAUGGUGAUGACAUGUUUGCUAUAAAGAAUAAUGAUAAUCAUGAAACUUGUCAUCAUGAUUUUUAAUUUUCAAUCUCAUGAUAGUUAUUUUUAUUGAGUUUGCUCCCACUACUGAAAAGAUCAUGAAAAGAAUCCUUUAUGUGAUAGUUAUUUGUUGAAUUCAUUCAUGAUGCUACUGAAAAUUAUUAUGAGAGAGGAACAUAUGCUUUUACAUAUUUCAAUAAUAUUAAGUUUCAUUUCUAUGUGUUGAAAAUUUUGAAGUUUUGCUUGUUUUUCCUUCCUAUGCUAGUUGAUUCUUGUUCCCAUAAAUUGUUUGCUCACAAAAUCCCUAUGCAUAGGAAGUGGGUUAGACUUAAAUGCGCUUUCCAUGUGAUUCAUGAUGCUCUUAUUAUGUUUCAAUCCUUAACUUUUAUGUGAGCAUCAUUGAACUCAUCAUGCCUAGCUAAAAGGCAUUAAAGAAAAGCGCUUGUUGGGAGACAACCCAUCAUUUACCUACCGUUUUUGUGUGUUAUUAGUCUACUUUAGUAAUCAUGUUUUAUUGCUUUUGUUUCAAUAAAGUUCCAAGUAAAGCCUUUGGGAUAGUGUGGAUGAUAGUUGACUUGAAUCUGUGCAAAAACAGAAACUUUUAUGAUCAGUCCAGAAAUUUUGAUAUUCACUGGAAUGUGCUUUUGAUCUGAAUUUUUAAUAGGAGAUAGAUAUACAAAUUAUCUAUGUUGUCCUAAUUUUUCAUAAUUUUUGGAGUUACAAAAGUAUGAUUGGAGUACAGAUUACUUUAGACUGCUCUGUUUUUGAUAAAUUCUAUUUUCAAUGCAUAGUUUGCUUGUUUCCUAGUUUCUAUGGCCUAUAUAGCUCAAUAUAAAUUGUGGAAAUUAUAGGCUACAAUAGUAAUUGUGUGAGAACAAUUAUGAAUCUUGUCUUUGACAGUACCAAAGUGAAUGGUUUGCUCUUUAUCAUACUAACCUAUCUCACGAAGUUCUGUUAAGUUUUGUGUGAUUGAAGUUUUCAAGCUUUGGGUGAGAUAUCGAUAUGAGGAGAAUAAGGAGUGACAAAACCCUAAGCUUGGGGAUUCCCAAGGCACUCCCAAGGUAAUAUUCAAGGAAGAUCCAAGCAACUAAGCUUGGGGAUGUCCCGGAAGGCAUCCCCUCUUUCGUCUCCAACAUUAUCGGUGACCUUAAUUGAGGCUAUAUUUUUAUUCGUCACAUGAUAUGUGUUUUUCUUGGAGUGUCAUUUUAUUUUGUUAGGAUUUGCUUUCUGUUAUCUAUAAUAAUGUUUUGCAUCUUUUACUUCAAUAAAAAUGCCAAGUAUAGCCUUUGCCAUGCUUAUUUUGUGAGUCUACUUGUGGCUGUUUCAAAACAGAAAGUUUGUUGUUGUUGCAAAAAUUCUCUAGAAAAUUAAGAAUGGGAUAAAAUGUUGAAUUUUUUUGCAUAGUAAGCUAUAAUAAAUUUUCUACAGUUUGGUAAGUUUUCAGAAUUUUCGGAGUUAGGGAAGUAUGAUGAAUAUUGCACUCUUUACAGACUACUCUGUUUAGACAGAUUGCUAUUAUGUUUGCAUUGUAUGCAUAUGUUUGCUUGUUUAAUGAUUCUAUUUGAGGACAGGAGUAUUAAAUAUGUAGAGGCAUUUAGUAUGCAAUGUUUAAUAAUAAUUUUAGCGAUUUUCUAUAGUAUAGAAUGAUAAGGUUAUUGCAUUGAUUUAUACUAACUUAUCUCAUGAGUUCUUGUUGAGUUUUGUGUGGAUGAAGUUUUUAAGAUUUAGGGAAACCGUGAUAUAAAUGAAUUAAGGAGACACAAAAGCUCAAGCUUGGGUAUUCCCAAGGCAUCCCAAGAUAAUAUUCCAAUAAGUCUCAAGCAUCUAAGCUUGGGGAUGCCCCGGUAGGCAUCCCACCUUUCUUCUUCAACAAUUAUCGGUUAGUAUCAGUUGAGCCUAAGUUUUUGCUUCUUCACAUGAGUUGUGCAAUUCUUGGAAUGCCAUUUUAUUUUCUUUUGCUUUCUAUUUUAAUAAAAUACUUAUAUCUGAAAGUUUUUAAAUAAAAAAGAGUCCUCAAAAUAGCUACCCAUCUACAUAACUACUCGCUUGAUCUUCACUUAUAUCUUUUUGGAGUAGUUUGUCUAUUAAUCUUGUGCUUCACUUAUAUCCUAUGAGUAAAUUCUUGAAUGAAUUGAAUAUAGUGAAGUUGAAAUUAUAUGUUCACAUCAUGCCUAGUGGUAACUUCACAAUGGGUUUAGAAAGUGAAAUCUUUUGAAGCUUGACAAUCACAAUAUUGGUCAUACAAGCAAUUCCUAAAUGAUUACUAUAAGGAAGAGCACUUUCAUGUGCAAAUAUAUUAUCUUGGACAUCUUCUAUGAUUGUGAAUACCCAUUAAUUAGUUGAACAAAUUAGUUGAAGUUGGACAAGGAAGACAAGAUAAUGAGUUAUGGUUGUGUAUAUUUGCCUAGAAGUUAUAUUGUCAUAGAUCCUCCAACAUGUGCUGUUUGCCUAGGAUCUUUUGCUAGCCAAAAAUUCGUACUAAGUAGAGAUACUGCUUGUGCAUCCAAAAACCCUCAAACCUAGUUUCUUGCCUUGAGUGUCCACCAUACCUACCUAAGGAUUGAAUAAGAUCCGUCAAGUAAGUUGUCAUUGGUGCAUAAAGCAACAAAAAUUGCUCCUAAAUAUGUUUGAUCUUUUAUUGUAAGGGAAAAUUAAGCAUUGUAUGAACUUGUGAUGGCAAAGUAAUAAAAGCGAUAGACUACAUAAUAAAGGUUGCUAUCAUAAGGGGCAAUAUAGCGUGACAUUCCUUUGCAUUAAGAGCUUGGACAUCCUAAUAGAAAGUGCAUGGCAACCACUGCUUCCCUCUGCGAAGGGCCUAUCUUUUACUUUUCAGUAUUUAUGCAAAGAGUCAAUAGUAUAAAUUCUCAUUUCAACCUCGAUUAUUCUCUAGUUGGCAAGCAUCAUGUGGUGGGGAAAGAUCUAGGCACAUAUGACCAGUCAAAUAUAUUUGAUCAUGAUUUAUUAUUAUUGACAAUUAUCUCUAUGAUAAAUGAGUUGGGAGGCAAAAUAUUAAGCCCCUAUCUUUCUUUGUGUUUGGUGGAUGCCAUUUGUUCUAAGAAUAUGCUUUGAGUAGUCAAUCAUGGAAUACUAUAUGAUGAUUGAGUAUGUGGAGCUCUUACUUAGACUCUGUUGAAUAAGUUGAAUUGCAAUUGUUUGGUGACUAAGAAUAUAGGUUGUUGAGUUUCAAGAGAAUUCAUUGUUUGAACCUUAACAUGUGAAUUGGUUGCUACUUUAACAUGAAAAGUUUUAUGAGAAAGAGUUGCUGUUAUGAUGCUAGGAAAAGUGAUUUAAAUUAUCAUUUAUCAAACUUAUGCACUUUGCUAGCAUUCACACUUCAUAAAUUAUUUCUUUUAUCAUUUACCUACUCGAGGACGAGUAGAAAUUAAGCUUGGGGAUGCUGAUACAUCUGCAACGUAUCUAUAAUUUAGGAAGUAUUCAUGCCAUGUUUACAACAAUUUUAUAUGAUUUUGGUAUGAUUUGCAUGGAACUAACCCGGACUGACGCUAUUUUCAGCAGAACUACCGUGGUGUUGUUUUUUGUGCAGAAAUGAAAGUUCUCCAAAUGAGAUGAAACUUUUUGACGAUUUUUUUGGAACAAAAGAGACCCCCGAAGCUUCGUGGAAGGACCAUUAGGGGAAGUAGUAGGGCACAAGACACCGGGCCGCGCCUGGGCCCUUGCCCGUGCCCCGGUGGGUUGUUCUCACCUCGAGGCCCAUCUUCGCGUGAAACCAACACCAAAAAAUCCUAUACAUAGAGAAACCAUCAGAAAUAACCCUAGAUCAUAAGUUCUGCCGCCACAAGCCUCUAUAGCGAUGAAAAGCCAAUCUAGACCCUGUUCCAUCAUGUGAGAUCAUCACUGGUGGCCAUCUUCAUCAUCCGGCGGCCACCAUGAUGAGGAGGGAGUAGUCCACCGUCGGGGCUGAGGGUUUGUACCAGUAGCUAUGUGUUUAAUCUCUCUCUCUCUCUCAUGUUCUUGAUAUGUCAUGAUCUUGAAGUAUCGCGGGCUUUGUUAAUAUAGUUGGAUCAUAUGGCGUUUUCCCUCUCUAUCUUGUUGUGAUGAAUUGAGUUUUCCCUUUGAGAUUUCGUUUUAUUGGAUUAAAUAUUUUUAUGGAUUUGAGAACACUUGAUGUAUGUCUUGCUAUGAAUACCCUUGGUGACAGUGGGGUAUCAUAUUGAUUCGCUUGAUAUGUGUUUUGGCACUCAACUCGCGGAUUCCCUAGGUGACAUUGGGGUAGUCUAUGCAUAGGGGUUGAUGCACAUUCUCCUCUUUGUUUCUCCGAUAGAAAUCUUGAGGCACUCUUUGAGGUUCUUUGUGUUGGAUCGAGUAUUAAGAAUCUGAAAUUGUUUGAUGCACAUCGUACAAUCAACUCUUGGAUAGUCGCAGUGACAUUGGAGUAUCUACGUGAUAUUAGAGUUGGUUGAUGUGUAUCAUAUGGUGUUAUUUUAGUAUGAACUCUUGGUUAGAUCGAUCGGAAAGAAUAGCUUGGUGUUAUUUUUAGUAAGAAUUCUAGGAUAGAUUGAUCGGAAAGAAUAGCUUUGAGGUGGUUUCGUACCCUAAAAAAAAUUUCUUCUUAUGUUCUCCAGUAGAUAAGAACUUUGGAGUGGUUCUUCAUCGCACUUUGAGGGAUGGUUAUACGAUCCAAUUAUAUUAGCAUUAUUGAGAGAUUGCACUAGCGAAAGUACGGACCCUAGGCCCCAUUUUCAAGCAUUGCAAUACCGUUUGUGCUUCGUUUUAUCAAUUGCUACCUUAUUGUUUUUUGUUGUUCCUAAUACCAAAAUCAAUAUCUACUAUCAUUACUACGCUUUUAUUACCAUCUCUUCACCGAACUAGUGCACCUAUACAAAUUACCAUUGUAUUUGGUGUGUUGGGGACACAAGAGACUUUUUGUUAUUUGGUUGCAGGGUUGUUUGAGAGAGAACAUCUUCAUCCUACGCCUCCCACAGAUUGAUAAAACUUAGGUCAUACACUUGAGGGAAAUUUUCUACUGUCCUACAAAACUCUGCGCUUGGAGGCCCAACACGAGUCUACAAGAACAUGUUGUGUAGUAGACAUCAGUAGGUAACAUACCGAUGGACAAUGGGAAUUACGUAUGUUGUCAUAACGGUUCGACCGAUAAAGAUCUUUGUAGAAUAUGUAGGAGCCAAUAUGGGCAUCCAGGUUCUGCUAUUGGUUAUUGACCGGAGAGGCGUCUUUGUCAUGUCUAUAUAGUUCUUGAACCCGUAGGGUCCGCACGCUUAACGUUCAUUGAUGAUAUAGUGUUAUAUGAGUUAUAUGAUUUGGUGAACGAAUGUUGUUCGGAGUCCCGGAUGAGAUCACAGACAUGACGAGGAGUCUCGAAAUGGUCAAGAGGUAAAUAUUGAUCUAUAGGAUGAUGGUAUUCGGACACCGGAAUAGUUUCGGAGUGCACCGGGUACUCAUUGGGUCAUCAGAAGGGGUUCCGGGCACCCUCGACAAGUGUAUGGCCCUUAUGGUCCAGAAGGGGGGACAGACCAGCCCACAAAGGGGCUGGUGCGCCCCUUCCCUUGGCUGGCCGUCCCUAGGGGAAGGAAAGGGGAGGGAUGGCCCCUCCUGCCUUUCCCUCCUCAAGAGAGAAAGGAAAUGGGGGGGGGGCGACCUCCUCCUUCCUUCGUCCCGCACUCCAAAUAAGGAAGGGGGGCGCCACUUGGGGGAAGACCCCAAGUAGGAUUCAGCCUACUUGGGGGCGCCUCUUGGCUGCUCCGUCCACCCCGCACCUAUAUAUAUGUGGGAGGGGGUGCCUAGCACACCCUAAGGCAAUUGCUUAGCCGUGUGCGAAGCCCUGCGGAGAUGACUUCACUGUCACCGUCACCACGCCGUCAUGCUACUGGAACUCAUCCACUACCUCGUCGUCUUGCUGGAUCAAGAAGGCACGGACGUCAUAGAGUUGAACAUUUGCUUAACGCAGAGGUACCGUACGUUCGGUACUCGAUCAGUUGGAUCGCGAAGAAAGUUCGACUACAUCAACCGCAUUGUCAAACGCUUAUCCUUACUAACUACGAGGGUACGUAGACACACUCUCCCCUUGUUUCUAUGCAUCUCCUUGAUAGAUCUUGCGUGUGCGUAGAAUUUUUUGUUUUCCAUGCAACGUUUCCCAACAGGGGCAUCCGAGCCAGGUCUAUGCGUAGAUGAUAUGCACGAGUACAACAGAAAGAGUUGUGGGCGGUGAUGGGCAUACUACUUACCACCAAUGCCUUAUUUUGAUUCGGCGGUAUUGUGGGAUGAAGUGGCCUGGACCAACCUUACAUGUCCACGCACAUGAGACCGGUUCCACCAACCGACAUGCAACUAGUUUUGCAUAAAGGUGGUUGGAGGGUGUCUGUUUUCCUACUUUAGUUGAAUCAAAUUUGACUAUGGCCGGUCCUUGAGGAAGUUUAAAACAACAAACUUGAUAAAUUGCCGUUGUGGUUUUUGCCGUAGGUAAGAACGGUUCUUGCUAGAAGCCCAUAGCAGCCAUGUAAAACUUGCAACAACAAAGUUGAGGAGAUCUAACUUGUUUUUGCAGGGCAUGUUAUGAUGUGAUAUGGUUAAGACAUGAUGUGAUAUACAUUGUUGUAUGAGAUGAUCAUGUUUUGUAAAUUUAUCGGCAACCGACAGGAGCCUUAUGGUUGUCUCUUUAUUGUAUGAAAUGCAAUCGCCAUGUAAUUGCUUUACUUUAUCUCUAUGCGUUAGCAAUAGUUGCAAAAGCAAUAGUUGGCGAGACGACCACGACGCAACGAUGGAGAUCAAGGUGUCUAUCCGGUGACGAUGGAGAUCAUGAUGAUGAUUUGGAGAUGGAGAUCAAAAGCACAAGAUGAUGAUGGCCAUAUCAUGUCACAUAUUUUGAUUGCAUGUGAUGUUUAUCCUUUAUGCACCUUAUUUUGCUUAGAACGAUGGUAGCAUUAUAAGAUGAUCCCUUCACUAAAUUUCAAGAUAAAAGUGUUCUUCCAGCGUAUGCACCGUUGCUAAAGUUCGUCAUUUUGAAGCACCUCGUGAUGCUCGGGUGUGAUAGACUCUACGUUCACAUACAACGGGUGUAAGACAGUUUUGCACAUGCAUAAUACUUGGGUUAAACUUGACGAGCCUAGCAUAUACAGACAUGGUCCCGGAACAUUGGAGACCAAAAGGUCGAACGUGAGUGAUAUAGUAGAUAUGAUCAACAUAGAGAUGUUCACCAUUGAUGACUAUCCCAUCUCACAUGAUGAUCGGACAUGGGUUAGUUGAUUUGGAUCACGUAUCACUUAGAUAACUUGAGGGAUGUUUAUUUAAGUGAGAGUUCAUUAGUAAUUUUGAUUAAUUGAACUCAAUUUAUCAUGAACUUAUUCUUGAUAGUAUUUGCAUAUCUAUUUUGUAGAUUAAUGGCCCGUGCUACCGUUCCCCUAAAUUUUAAUGCGUUCCUAGAGAAAGCUAAGUUGAAAGAUAAUGGUAGAAACUACACGGACUGGGUCCGUAACUUGAGGAUUAUCCUCAUUACUGCACAUAAGAAUUAUGUCCUUGAUGCACCGCUAGGUGACAGGCCUGCUGUAGGAGUUGAUGCAGAUGUUAUGAACGUCUAGCAAGCUCGAUCUAAUGACUACUCAAUAGUUCAAUGUGCCAUGCUUUACGACUUAGAAUCAGGACUUCAAAGACGUUUUGAACAUCAUGGAGCAUAUGAGAUGUUCCAGGAGUUGAAGUUAAUAUUUCAAGCAAAUGCCUAGGUUGAGAGAUAUGAAGUCUCCAACAAGUUCUAUAGCUACAGGAUGGAGGAGAAUAGUUCUGUCAGUGAACACAUACUCAAAAUGUCUGUGUAUUAUAAUCACUUGACUCAACUGGGAGUUGAUCUUCCAGUUGAUUGUGUUAUUGACAGAGGUCUUCAAUCACUGCCACCAAGCUACAAAGGCUUCAUGAUGAACUAUAAUAUGCAAGGGAUGAACAAAACAAUCCCCGAGCUCUUCGCAAUGCUUAAGGCCGCGGAGGUAGAAAUCAAGAAGGAGCAUCAAGUGUUGAUGUUUAACAACACCACUAGUUUCAAGAAAAAGGGCAAGGGAAAGAAAGGGAACUUCAAGAAGAAUGGCAAGCAAGUUGCCACUAUCGGGAAUAGUCCCAAAGCUGGACCCAAGCCUGAAACUGAGUGCUUCUAUUGAAAAGGAAGGGGUCACUGGAAGCGGAACUGCCCCAAGUAUUUGGUGGAUAAGAAGGAUGGCAAAGUGAAAAAAGGUAUAUUUGAUAUACAUGUAAUUGAUGUGUUCCUUACUAAUGCUCGUAGUAGUGCCUGGGUAUUUGAUACUGGGUCGGUUGCUCAUAUUUGAAACUCGAAACAGGAGCUGCGGAAUAAAUGAAGAUUCGCUAAGGAAGAGGUGACGAUGCACGUUGGGAAUGGUUCCAGGGUCGAUGUGAUCGCCGUCGGAACGCUAUCUCUACAUCUACCUUUGGGAUUAGUUUUAGACCUGAAUAAUUGUUAUUUGGUGCCCGCGUUGAGCAUGAACAUUAUAUCUGGAUCUUGUUUAUUGCGAGACGGUUAUUCAUUUAAGUCAGAGAAUAAUAGUUGUUCUAUUUAUAUGAAUAAUAUCUUUUAUGGUCAUGCACCCUUGAAGAGUGGUCUAUUCUUGUUGAAUCUCAAUUGUAGUGAUACACAUAUUCAUAAUAUUGAUGCCAAAAGAUGCAAAGUUGAUAAUGAUAGUGCAAAAUAUUUGUGGCACUGCCGUUUAGGUCAUAUUAGUGUAAAGCGCAUGAAGAAACUCCAUGUGGAUGGGCUUUUGGAAUCACUUGAUUAUGAAUCAUUUGAUACUUGCGAACCAUGCCUCAUGGGCAAGAUGACUAAAACUCCGUUCUCCAGAACAAUGGAGUGAGCUAAUGACUUAUUGGAAAUAAUACAUACCGAUGUAUGCGGUCCGAUGAGUGUUGAGGCACGCGGCGGAUAUCAUUAUUUUCUGACCUUCACAGAUUAUUUUGUUGGAAAUAUGCCCUAGAGGCAAUAAUAAAUUGGUUAUUAUCAUAUUUCCUUAUUCAUGAUAAUCGUUUUAUUAUCCAUGCUAGAAUUGUAUUGAUCGGAAACUCAGAUACAUGCACUACAAAAAAAUACACUUCCGUGAUGAUACGUGUACAUCCAUGACGAUUUUAUGAUAGAAUCAAGAUAGUCAUACAUGUUCUGUCAUAGAAGUGUUCCAUGACAUUACCAAAAUUAUCAUCACGGAAGUGUCCACUUCCAUGACGAUAAAUUAUGCGUCAUAGAAGUGCUUUCGUGGAGGGUGGUCGACACGUGGCAUCCACCAUAAUGGGACGCUAUUACGCUAUCGGGUUCCGGUUUGGAUCUGGUAACCCGUUAACAACACAGACCAAUGGCGAUUUUCCACGUGUAAAAUUCUCAAUGGCGAGAGGAACCACGUGUCGGCUCACUGUUGGGAUAGAUGGCAUCCAUUCAUUGGACUGAAGGCGCCUAUGAUACGUCGACACGUGGCAUGACCCAACAGAGGCUCAUUCCAGUGAAAAGGCUGGCCCAUUUGACUUGGUCAAAAGUUAGCAGGCCGGCCCAUGGAAAGCCUGUUAACGGCCUAUUCGCAUAUAGCCCAUUUACAACCCGCUAACUCACCUCCUGUUAUGGCCUACCGGAAUUUGGCCCAGUAGCGUCAUCUGGGCCGUCCAAUAUGAUUCCAGCCCAUUGUAACUUCCAGCCCAUGUAUGGCCCAUGACAUCUUUCGACCCAUAGGAGGCCCUUUGUAACUCUGGGCCCAUUAAAGGCCGAGAUGAAACUGGCCCAUAAUGAACAGUGUAUCGCUUUAUACCCAUUAACGGCCCAUUAUUCCGUCGACCGUUUCCAGCCUGUGUUAACUUUCGGCCUUCUAAGGGCCCAUUUAUUCUUGGGCUCAUUUCCAGAAUUCGAUUACUUACGGCCCGUUACUGGCAUGUUCCACUUGUGGGCCAAAUUCAGCUCAUGGUUACAGUCGGCUUGUUUGUGGCCCGUUACCCCGUUGGACUAUUUUUAUAGCGUCAUCAAAUACGACCUAUUAACGGCCUGUUAUGGUCGGGCCAUAAAACAGACGAUUUCCACUCUAGCCCAUUUAUGGCCCAUUUUGCGGGCCAUUAUUUGGUCCAUGAAUAGUACGACCCAUGUUUGGUGAAACGAUUAUACGGCCCGUAGAAGGCCCAUAGAUUAGAGGCCCGUAGAAGGCCCAUGGAUCCUACGGCCCGUAAAAGGCCCAUGGAUCCUACGGCCUAUAGAAAGCCCAUGGAUCCUACGACCCGUAGAAGGCCCAUGGAUCGUACAACCCGUGGAGGGCCAUGGUCACUAGAAAAGGUAGCAGGACCAUGGUUACAACAGUCUGUGUGUUGCCAUGGUUAUUGUGGCCUAGUUAUAAAAAUAGGUUAUUGUGGCCACUAGAAAAGCGAAGAAAAAGAACUGCAGUGACUACAAGCAAACAAGUAAACAAGACAAUAAGGAAAUAAAUAAGCAAGCAACCAACGCUAGGCUAUUACUGCUAUUAUACAUAUUACAUCCACUCGGCGUCAAAGUUCGCCACCAGUGGAAAUAUAGGGAACAAAGCAGCAUAUUACAUACACUGGCCGUCUAAAUUGGCCAGCAGUGCAAAUAAACGCGGCAAUAAAACAAGUCCAUAACUGAAACAACUUCAGAAGAGCUCAAGAAAUGUUAUCCUGGGUAUCCACCAUGCUGGCAAUAAGCUUAGCAAGCUUAUUAACUUUGUCCUGUUUGGCGCUAAAAUCCUCCAACGCUUGCUGUUGCACCAGAAAGUAUGCAUCUAAAUGCUCCAGGGACUUCCGCAGUCCUUCAGCUUCUUGUCGUAGCACAACUGAUCGAUGUCUUUCAGCUUGUAGUUGAGAGUCAAGAAACCGAACUGAUUCGGACAAUGAGUUUGAAUAGCUUGUGCCAGCGGUAGUGGCCUGUAACUCGAACACUAAACCAAGACAUGACUUUUGGGUUGUCUCAUUGUCUUCAAGAUAGUUUCCCUUAGCUGUUUUAUCAGCUUUGUUGGAGACCAACAAGGAUGUCUCACUAUCCUGAACCUUAUCUGCAUUACUUCCUUUACCAUUGCUUAAUAAGGCACUCUUCCCCAAUAUUUUGUCAGCAUUCUAAAAGAAGAAACAAGCAGACACAUAAUAGGUUUAGCAUGUACUAGUAUAUGAAACUCAUUUCGGUGAACCAGUUCGUUAGUAAGGUGGACAUGAUUAAACUACCAAGUCUUCUAUUGCCAAGUAGUACAUAAUAAAAGCAUCAAAUAAACAUAUAUCUAUGUCCUAUGGUCACUGCAUUGUCUUGCCAAAUCAAAAUAGAGACAUGGUUCAAAUCAUAUCAGUUCAAGAAAAAGCAGCACUUAAAGAAUACAAAGCGUGGGAAUCUACACAACACAACAAGAUUUCAGAUGGGUACCAUGGGUCUACAUGUACAACAACACUAUUGGAUCUGUUGUGAUGCUAGUAAUGUGCAUGAUAUGAGAAGUCAACUAUAUACACAAUUGAAAUUGAAAUCAACAGAGCUAUUUAUAAGGGCAAACCUAUUAAAGAAACAUGCGUAAACAUACAUGUUGUGCCAUUGGAGUUUUGAUUGGAUCCUUCAAUUUAAAAAUAAGUUUGUAUGAGUAAACACAGUGAUACAAGAGCAAAGCAGUAUGCACGAUAGCAAUGGAAUCUUAAAUGAGAACAGUUGUUCUUCAGGUUUAAGCACUUGUUCUACAUGAACAAAGUAUAGCAAGAUGCAAGCAUAUAGUAAUUAAAAAUAAAAAAUGAGCUCAUAGACCUUACCACAUUCUUGGUUCGGGACCAGUACAAAACAAGGCUUUCCCAGUCAUCGUCCAGUAAAUGUGUCUCAGGAUAACGUAAGGGAAUUUGAUGAGUUUCUUUGCCAGCGAAGUACAUUUUCUUCAGGUAAUUCUGAUACUGCUACCAAGCAUUCUUGAAGAUAGCAAAGGUAUUAGCACAUGUUAACUCAUCCUGAGUUUCCAAAUUGGUCCUUCUCUAUAGAGAAAAUGGGAAAAUUUGCUGUAUUAUAACCAUCAUGGAGGUAGAAUGUAUGGAACAAAGCAAAGUAAUUGCUGUGAAAACAUCCAUCCAUCCAAACAUCACGACUCCUGACCGUCUUUCGCCACGGGUCCACGACACACAUAGGAUUUAACAACAUCAAAUGCGAUAGAUGCUAAACUACGAAUGGCUGGAUGUGCUUCGUCCAUAAGAAUAGGUGUACUAACUGGUGGAGUUGGGGUUCGCCGUGGUAGUACUAGUACUUUGGGCACUGGAGUUGCCUUACUAACUGCUCUUGUUUGGGAGCUCUAUGGUGGAGAUGGUGUUGUGUCAACAAGAACUAGGUUACUAUCUGCUGGGUUGGGGUUAGAUUGGGUGAAGCUGGUUCUGUGUCCCAUUGCAAUAGGGGUACAAUCUGCGAGAGUCUGGGUUAUGUGUGGUAGGACUGGUUCUCGUGCAUGUAAAACCAUUGUAUGAGAGACAGAUGCAAUAGAUAGUGUGGAAAAAAGAGGGCAUAAAAUUAUUGACAUGUAUAUUGUUUAACUAAAAGGGAUAGCAUGACAUAAUUUCACAUAUAUGAUGUCUAUCUAAACUGGAUAGCAUAGCAUGACAUAAUUCAAAGAUAUGAUGACUAACUAAACAGGAUGGCAUGAGAUAAUUAUAUGAUGUCUUUAGUAAACAGGUUCACAUGACAUAAUUCACAUACAUGUUAUCUAAGUAAUCAGGAUCACAUGAUUUAAUUCACAUAUGUGAUUUAUAUGCUAAGCAGAGGGCAUUCACAUAUAUGAUCUCUGAACUAAGAACAUGGUGUUGAAUAUUGUGUAUAUGAUGUCUAAACUAUGUAAUGCAAGACACCAUAUGCAUGAUAUGAGCAGUAUAACUGUGCCAAGUUAGAGCAUACACCUCAGUGGGGGAAUAUGACUGGUCAUUUGUCUCUGAAUCCAUCUCUGAGGAGCUAUCGGUACCCAACAAGCGAUCUGCUUCGACAGGUAGCACUGUUUGCUCUGAAGACCUUGUUUUCACUCUAGAUUUUUCCAUCACCCACUCAAAUGGCUGAUUCACAGGAAGAGUAGUUUAAUGUACAAACAUUGUCGACAAAUGGAAAUGUAAUGAAGAAAAGGACGGGCAAGAUAUCAUUCAAAUAUAUGAUGCCUGGUUAAACAGGAUGGCAUUGCAUAUUUCACAUAUAUUAUGGCUGGCUAAAAGAGACGAGACUGCAUAAUUCCCAUAUAUGAUAUAUAAACUAAAUAGGUGGCAUUACAGAACAUGUCUAAACUAAGCAGAUAACAUAUAUGAUGUCGAAAGUAGGCACUUCAAGACAACAUAUGCAUGAUAUGACUAACAUCAUCAUGCCAAGUUAGAGCAAACAACUUGGGGGGGGGAGUAAAUAGGAGCGGCCAGCUGUGUCUGAAUCCGCCUCAGAACAGAUAUCUUCCUCUGGAUUANNNNNNNNNNNNNNNNNNNNNNNNNNNNNNNNNNNNNNNNNNNNNNNNNNNNNNNNNNNNNNNNNNNNNNNNNNNNNNNNNNNNNNNNNNNNNNNNNNNNNNNNNNNNNNNNNNNNNNNNNNNNNNNNNNNNNNNNNNNNNNNNNNNNNNNNNNNNNNNNNNNNNNNNNNNNNNNNNNNNNNNNNNNNNNNNNNNNNNNNNNNNNNNNNNNNNNNNNNNNNNNNNNNNNNNNNNNNNNNNNNNNNNNNNNNNNNNNNNNNNNNNNNNNNNNNNNNNNNNNNNNNNNNNNNNNNNNNNNNNNNNNNNNNNNNNNNNNNNNNNNNNNNNNNNNNNNNNNNNNNNNNNNNNNNNNNNNNNNNNNNNNNNNNNNNNNNNNNNNNNNNNNNNNNNNNNNNNNNNNNNNNNNNNNNNNNNNNNNNNNNNNNNNNNNNAAUCUAGGGAGGGGGGGGGGGCGGUUUUCCAUUGAACCCACCAUGGAGCAAUGUAUUCAUGACAUUGUAUUGCCGCACAAAACUCUUCUCUUUUUCUCUACAUGUUCAACAUGACUGUGUACACUAUCUGACAUGCAUAUGAAAAAAAUAUAGUGAGAUUAUGUAAGGAGAGCAUGCAGAAAUCUAGAGUGAUGGUAACAACCAGUGGAUGGAUCCAAAAAUAAUGAUAGCAGGCUGAUGAUAGCUUUAAAUUAAUAAAAAGACAGAAGAUGCUUUACUAUUUGUUUCCUACCCAAAAUGAACAACAUAGGCAGAGAUACUAUUCAUUACUGCCUCGAUAUGUGCCAGAUAAUAUACAGAGAUACUAUUCAUUGCUGCCUCGAUAUGUGCCCCACAACUAAUUUUAAAACUCAAGUUUCAACAUUAAUUUGGACCUGACUUGGAGUCUAAGAGGUGAACAUGACGAUAAAGUAGUAGGUAAUAUUAAGCAAUGCAUAACAUAAGCAGAAACAAAAGAGUGGGACCUCUCUCAUGGACUCGUGUACUCCUCAAGUUCAUCUGCUGAGUCGAUGAUGGUGAUGCCAUUGCGGUGGGUGCCGGCGGUAGGGAAGGAGAUCUGAGGCAGCAAAAUACGGCCAAGAGUCGUGAUAUCUGGUUUGGUGGAUGCUUCUAUCGAUGGAGCAGCUCAGAUGAGGUGGACGACGUUGUGGCAGGAGCAGGACAAACCACACAAAGUUUUCUUCGACACCUACCUAUAACUGAAGUAAUUUUGUAAGGGCUCCUUUGGCUUGCAGGAUUCUAAAAACCCAGAGAUAGGAAAAACACCGGAAUAGGAUUCAAAACAAAGCAUUUUAAACACAUGAUUUCUGUCAACUUGGGUGUUUGGUUCACAGGAAUUGGAAGAGCAGAGGAAUGCAAAGAAACAUGGCCAAAUUAAAGUGAAACCAUAUGAAAGCGUGUACAGUUAGAAUGUUAUUCUGCCACUAAUGCACUUGGUCUUGUUUUCAUGCAUAGGAUUUUGAAAAGUAGGUCAAGGUGGAUGUUUUUCUCCAUUCCUUUCAAUAAAAUGCAUGAAUAAUUGAAUAGUAGAGUGCCAUAGGAAAAAUUUCCUAUUGCUAUGUUUUCCUUUCAGUUUUUCCUUUGAACCAAAAUAGCCCUAAUGGAUCGACAUGAAUGUAGAGUACUAAGUGAUGCGAUAAGUGCACACCCUCUUUGCCGUAGCUGUGUCGACCUCGGCAUCAUUGGGUUGGUCGCCGAAGAAGUUGAGGCAGAGGUGGCUAUCGGAGGUGUGGAGGAAGAUCUGAGGAAUAUGUAGACGGCGUCCAUGGCACUACUCAAUUGUGAUGGAUGGUUCCAUUGUUGGAGCAGCUGCGGUGAGCCGUAAGACGUCAAUGCUGAAGUAGUACAAGACAUACAUCCUUAAUCUCAAGUGGGAUUCUAAUAGCAUCUACAAUAGAUUAUGUAAAAUACAUCACCCAAAAUUGACAGAUGUAACAUUUACAUCACAACAAAGCACCUGACUACAACAGAUGAGGUAAAAACUGUAGACUCUGGACUUAACUGUCGAAACUGAAAUUUACCGUGGAAUCUGAAUGUUACUGUCGAAACUGAACACACUGGUAGCAGAGAGGCACUUCACAUGUAGUUUUGGCCGCUCGAGCACUAGUAGUAGCAAAAUAGUGAUCUAAAUCAGCAGGUGAUCGAGGGGGAACACAAUAGCAGAUAGCAUCCGGAGCAGCAGCGCCUGGAGGAGCAACGCGAACUAGAUACAAAGCAGCAACUCGUGUAGCUGCAAUAGCCUGUGUACCAGCAUCAGCAGCGCGAGUGAGAGCAAGAGCAAAGCAGCAGCACGAGCGAGGGGGAGAGCAGAGCAGCAACACAAGCGAGGGCCGGAGCAGCAAAAGGAGCAGCAUGAGCAAGCGAGAGACGGAGCAGCAGCAGUAGCACGAGCGAGCGAGCGAGAGCCGGCGCAGCAACAUCAGAUUUAGCUGGUAUGGCCGCCGCCGCUGAAGGGGCCUCGCACUGGGGGAGAGCCGCCGUGGAGAUAUCGCCCGCUGCGCCGGCUUCGAGGUAGCCGCGCCAUGGGGUGCAGGAUGGAGCACCGUCGGCGUCGGGAGGUCGAGUUAAGGAGAAGGUGCAAUGUGAUGAGUGUACAACCUCUUUGGUGGCACUAAGUAGGCCUUGGAUUCGUCCGAGGAGUCGGUGAGGAUGUUGCGGUUCCAGUGGAGUAGGUUAAGGUGGCAUUGUGGGGAUGGAGCAGCCGCGAUAGACGAGGCGAUCAUCGGAGUAGCUCCUUGGAGGUGGAGGAUGGGGCGGGUGAACCGACGGGACGACGAGAUCGAUUACGGAUCCUCAUAUGGGGAGGUGGAUGAGGGACGUCGAGCUGUUGCGGUGGACGAUGUCAUCGGGGAAGAGGCUCCGACUAGGCAACAUUGAGGUGGAGGACGAAGGAGGGUGGGGUUUCGUGGCUGGAGCAGAGAUGUUAUGGCGGCCUAGGAUUUCGAAUGGCAAAAAGGAGGCGAUGGGAGGGGGAACCAUGACUCAGGGACACGCUUGUCCAAAAUGUAGGGUGUGUUACAAAAGUACCCCACCGAUUUGAACUAGCGGCCCUUUCGGCUCAGGGUUAGAAGGGGGAUUUCGCGUGUCGGGAUUUGGCAGCUGCAGGAAAUUUUCGCGCGCGUUGUAAUUUCGGGAUAGUAAGGCACAAGUUGUGAAGGCGCAUGUUUUGGGAGCACGAUACCUGAAUUUUCGGGAUAUAACAAGGUGUGGGUUGAAUUUUAGGGACAAGCCUAAUGUUUAAUAUUGUACGUACCAAAUCAAUUUCACACUUCCCUCAACAAAAAAAGGAAAAAAAUAAAGCUAUUCACACCACACAAAGAGAGAGUCUUGUCCCGUUUUACUGUACAAAUGCUAUUCAAAGCUACAAAUCCAUGUUAUGUCCAAUUAAUUUUUUUUGCUGGUUGUAUAAUGCAUGUAACCUACUCAUACUAACAUUUUAGUGCACUCCAAAUGUCUAUACUACUUCUUCAUAUCGAACUGAAUUUGAACUCAUUUCUCCAUUUGAAUAAGAAUCUACAAUCAUGAUUGUUGCCAACUUAAACCACCAUUCAUGUAUUAUCUUAACAACACACCACAUGAUUACUAUAGAGAUAGAUAUGAGCUCGAAUUCAAAUUUUUGAAUACACUUGAUGUUGGUUCCAAAUAAUAGUACAUUUGAUGUACUAACUCGAUACUCAUAAUCUAAACCAUGUUCCAUACGUACACUGUGUUUAGCACACAAAGUAUAGUGCCCCCCCUACAUUAUGACAAGUAUUUAGCCCUGAGCUGCACUCAAAAGCCACACAUUAUCUGAAAUUAUAAUCAAUGUUCUAUAUAUCAUAUGUAGUAUAACAUCUUAAUAACUACACCAUGUGUAUCACCAUUUUAUAUAUUCAUUCAUGCAUGCGUCGGUUUAAAACACUAUGAUAUCUUCUUCAAAUAUAUGAAUCCACUUUUUUAUAAUGAAUUAUAAUCUCUGUUCGUAUUUUACACCUUCACGAUCCUCUUCUCUUUGUAGCUAGCUUGCGUUAACUUUCUAUCAUGCAUGCACACGCCCGCCCCCCUCUCACCCUCCCACAGCGUCCCCUCCAUCGCGCACAUUCAUUUCUCUUUAGGUCCUCUCUAUCCAAGUGUGCCUACCACAAACACACACUUUCCCUCUUCUCUUCUCACCGUCCAUGCCCCCCUAUGUCCAAUACGGUUCCACGCAGGUGCACACUCCCCCCCUCUUUUCAUCGAUCUCAUACUCGCACACUCCUCCCCCUCGACAUAGUAGGCCUCUCGCACCACCUCCUAGCCGCACCCCUCUCCACCCGCCCAUCUCUCUGGACCUUAUUUGCUUCUAACACAUGCAUGCAUGUAUACGUACCGAUCUCCCUACAUAUAGUUAGGUCGACUAUAAUUCUUUUUCCCCAUGCACUGAUCAACUUACCUCACUAGUUAUGUCUCUCCCUUUCUCGGACAUACAAAGAUUGAUCUUCCUAUGUAGUUACAUCCGCUUACCACAACCACAUCGUCCCCUGUCAUCAUCCUUGCACACCUCCCGACCCGUCUCUCACACACACGUGCAUAGACAGGCACACAUCCCCUCUCUUAUUGAUAUUGCACUCGUACCCUUCGUUUGUCUAGCAGGCCUCCACUACUGUAGGAUGCUGCUAACGCAGCACUACGAUCAGAGACCCUUCGACGAAAUUGUAUGAGAUGCAAUAAUCACAAAUGGUGGUGUUAAAAAGCCGUAAAAAAGGUGUAAAAUGUUUGCAGUGGCGGACACAUCAAACACGGUUCAGAUUUUACUUGCGUGUGCGAUGCUGGGCAUACGGUUGAUCUAGCAGAACUAUUUGCGAUGAGGAAGAACAACAGAAACGGGUAGCCAUAUCAAUGUGUGUGCGAUAUACGACACACAGUUCACUCUGAUGAACUGUGUGCUAUUAGGGAUGCAACAAAAACAGUCAGCCAGAUCAAGGUGUGUGUGAUAUACAUCAUACGGUUCACUCGGACAAACUAUUUUCGAUAAGGCAAGAGAACAGAAACGGUUCAUCUUAACAAGAUGUGUGUGAUAUGAGGCAUUUGCGAUCAGCAAAAAGAACACAAACGAUUCGUGUAAACUAGAUGUGUGUGAUACGUAGCAAACAACCCACUCGGAUGAACUGUUUGCGAUGAGAAAUUAUAACACAUAUGUUUACUAUAGUAAGUUCAUGUGCGAUUCUGUUCGUACAAAAAACUUUGAAAAAUGCAAACUAGUUGCUUGCGUAUAAACAAUUAUCAAAAAUUAACAAGAUAGACCUUCUUCAAGCCAAUCAACAUGUGUUCAAAAACAAAAAAUGCCAAAAGUUACAAAACAAAGACCUCGAUAGACCUUGCUGUUGUAGAUCCCUCUUUGCAGCCUUUAUUGCGCAACACAAUGGAAAUGGUUCAACUGAACAAGAUGUGUGUGAUACACGGCAAACAUGUCAGUGAUCAGAAAUGUGUGCGAAGACCAAUAAUAACAUAGACGAUUGCUGCUAAUAAGCUCAUUCUGGGCCAUGUCCAUGAGACCCCAUUCCUCCUUAUUUUCUAUCUCCUCCAGCUCGGAGUCGACUUCACCAAACUUGAAGACUAGUGGCGGAUGUUGGAUUUAGGGUUCCGGCAGACCCUCUAGGUUCGAACACUGGGGUACGCGCGGAGAUCUCGCCCUCUAGCUACCUGCACCUCGCCGCCUCGCUAGGAUCUGAGCUAUGAAAGGAGCAACACAAGAGAUACAGGGUUUAUACUAGUUCGGGCCACCAUUGUGGUGUAAUACCCUACUCUAGUUUGUGGUGUGGUGGAUUGCCUCUUGGGCUGAUGAUGAACAAUACAAGGAAGAACAGCCUCGCGAGGGUCUGUUCUUGGCUGCUGUGAUGAACUGCUAGGGGAGUUCAAUCGCUCUUCCUACUGGUUUUCUGAUGAUGAUCCUCCUCCCUCUACCUUGUGGGUGGCGAGUCCUAUUUAUAGGCGAAGGCCCUAGGCCUCUUCCCGAAUGUUGAGCGGGAAGGGCGCCAACAAUUGGCCAUUUUGAAGGGGAACAUCCAAUACACUUAUCCUGACUAAAGUUGGUCCUCGCCUGUCAAAGGCUCUGGUGGUGACGCCGGCUUGGGCUCCACAAUGACUUCCUUCCUGCUGUUGCGACGGUCUUGGUCUUGUUGCACCGAAACAGAUGCCUUUGCUUGAUGCUCUCGCCUGCUCUUGCUCCCUUUGCACCAAAGAGGAAAGGUGGACAUUGCGCGGGCUGGCGCCCGCCUGGCGCCCUUGGUUGUCAUGGCUUGCGUCAUGGGCACCUCGUGAGGUACCCCGCCUUGAUCUCUCCGCCUCCUUGCGAGCCAGCCUGACGAGGCCGUGCCUGAGAAAGCUUCUUGUCGUCCACCCCGCGAGGCUUGGCCCCUCGUGAGGGUCUUGAGCUCGUGCUGAUGAAGAUGGGUUGUGCUGGGCCGCCCCUUGAGCCGCGUUGCAGGCCGCAGGCAGGCAAGUCUGGGGACCCCCGUUCCUAGAAUGCCGACAGUAGCCCCGGGCCCAAGGCGCCCCCGGAUUUGGCUGAGCAGAGAAGCGAAGGGGCAAGUGUGAAGCGCCACGGGCCCUAACAGCCUGCGGCCUUGGGUGCCGCGUGGCGGUUGAUUAGACGUGGGCGGCUCCGCUCCCCCACGACGCCUCGGCGACUGCACGAACUGUCAAGUCCCUGCAUGCAAAGCGGGUCAUGAUUACCUGUGAUCAUGGAGGCCGGCGGUUGGCCUCCUCUUGCUAUAAGUACGGGACGAUGCCUGCCCUUCCGGUCCAUCCCCUCUUGCCUUUCCUUCUUCUUCAUGGCUCCGCCAAAGAGGUUCUCGGCCACAAAGAAAGGAAAGGCCUGCCAGGUGGAUCCUGACUCUCCCCCGCCCAAGCGCGGUCGAGGCCAUCCCCGCAAACACCCUGCGACUCCCGUUGUGGCUCCUUGCGGCCGUGAAGGCGAUCUUCCGCGUGGUGACGGGCGACAGGCCGCCGCUGGGGCGCGCGCUAUGGCCGCGCGACCCCCUAGGCCGCGCUCCGACUCAGCAGAGGUACUGCCGGAGUUCGUUGUGUGGUCGACGGAACCGGCCAGCAUCCGGCUCCAACUUCCUCGCUUCCUCCUAGGUGAGCUUCCGGCUGGCGCCCCGGGCGGCCUCUGGCUUCAGGCUGACGGUUGCUGCAGCCGGGCCUCCUGGGCUUCACUGGAGGUCUCUGCUGCCGGGGGCCUGGCCCUGACCUGCGGCUGGCAAACGUUUGCCCAGGCACGUGGUCUGAGCCGGCGGUGCACCCUGCACUUCAAGUUCUAUGGUGAUGCCACCCUCUACGUGAGGGUGUUCGGGGAAGAUGGUCGCCGCGCUGGGUGCUGCCCUGAGGACGACGACCGCGGCCAUGGGUCCAGCCCCAGCGACGAUGAAGACGACAGCGUGCGCGUGGUCGGCGGCGCUCGGGGUUCAUCGAGCUUCGACGGCUCUUCUUCGGGCAGCGGCUCCUACAGCGGUGGCCGCGAUCAGCCUCCGCGCCUGCCUGGAGGGAGGUAGCGGGUCUGCCCGCUGCCGCGCUUCGGUGAAGCGUGAGAUGGAGUCCUCCUGAGCUCCGGAGGCAGUUCAAGUCUCCCCCGCGAGUUGGUGUCGGGCGAGUCGCGCUUGUUUUGUUCUUUUUCCCUUUUCCUGCGCAAAGAGACAGUAGUGUAGGGCCCCGCGGGGGCGUGCUUGGACUAUUGCUGUUAACUAUUGUACUGCUUCCGCUAUUUCGGUAUUGAGCCUUUGUGCCGCACGCCUGCGCGUGGAAAUUACUUAGCUCGGGGGGGCCUGUCGUGACCUUUGCUUCCCGAGGCCGAGGCCUCGUCGAACGCUUCAAGUCAUGCGAGGGUUAGUCUGAAGAGGUAGCUCCCGGCCUCAGCUGUGGAGGCGACCGACCCAAGUCCUAUGUUCGUGUCGCGGUGCCCGUGGGGCACGGACUGGAGGGGUGCUCCUGUAGUGGACCUGGGUAGGGAAGCCUCGAACGACAAGGGCAUAAAACACUCGCGAGGGUGCCUGCGUUGCUCACUCGCGAGACUCGCGCGAGAGAAAUCGGGGCAGGAGAGCGAAAAAGGCAAAGAGUCACAAGCCAAAGACGACAAAAACUUCAAUAAAACCUCGAAUGGGGAUGAACAAGCCAACUGCAGAAAGCAAAUGAGAAAAGCCGCGUCCUGCACCUAAUCUAGUCUUCGACGUCUUCUCACCAGCGUGGAGCUAAGUGUUGCCACUGGGCAUGGGAGGUAGCCCCAGGGCCUGAGGCCGGCGCUCCUGAGACUCCGGGGCGUGUACAGCCCCAACUCAUUAUUACGUGAGAGUGUCACGGGCGGCGAGCUUCACAGGCAUUGGCCUUCUUCACAGGCUCUGGGCAUUUCUCGGGAAGAUAAACUUCACAUGCGUUUGCCUUCUUCACAGGCACCAGCACUUUUCCAAAACGUGACAGCUUCACAGGCGUUUGCCUUCUUCACAGGCUCUGGGCCUUUUCCAAAACGCGACAGCUUCACAGGCGUUCGCCUUCUUCACAGGCUCUGGGCCUUUUCCAAAACGCGACAGCUUCAUAGGCGUUCGCCUUCUUCACAGGCUCUGGGCCUUUUUCGGGGUAAAACCUCCGGAGGUGCUGGAUGUUCCACGCGUUCUGGACGGGUACCCCCUCCUGAGUCUCCAAGCGCAUGGAGCCGGGCCUGGAAACAUAAACAACCUUGAACGGGCCCUCCCACAUGGGAGAGAGCUUGUGCAGUCCCUCUGAAAGAACAUGCGGUGCCCCCAUGUUUGGUUUUGGUAAUUGAUGACAAUCUCUAUGGACUAAUGGUUGUCUUGAGUUGUAUUUGAAGGAUUUGUCCAUAGGCUUUUCUUGAAGUCCAUGUGUUGGUUUCAAGGAGUUUUUGAGUUGACCAAGGUGCUAUUAAGCAAUUAUCCAAAGAUUGGUCAUGCGAGUGUUGAGCUUAUCGCAAGCAUGUCUUGAAGAAGAAGGUUGUGUGAUCAUUCAUGUUUAGCUUCAAGACAUCAUCCAAAUGAAGAGAGUUGCAAAGAUUCAAGGUUGAUCAAGACUAAGUCAAGAGUGAAUCAAGUUGAUCAACUCACAAAGCAUAGAGAUGUACCGAGAGGGAUCAUGUGAUCCCAUGGUAUGGUAAGCAUUGUCCAUUACACUUUAUGUACUAACCCAUGGUCUAUGUGAGAGUUGUAUGUGGAGUUAGGUACGUAUCCAUGGGCUUGCGUCAAGAGGAAGAUAUCAUACAACCCAUGGAAAGGAUGACAUCAAGUGGUGAUCGUCAUCAAGAUUGACGUGUGCAAGUUCAAGUGGAGCAUCACGAAGAGACCAAGUGCUUGAAUCUUACCAUCCAUUGUGGUGCCAAUGGACUUGUGAAGAUGUGCCGAAGAGUGGCUCACCCAUAGUGAACUAUGGGGGAGCAAUCUUCUAGUCUUCAUCGAGCCAACGCAAUCAAGAAAGGUGGUCCAACUUGAGGGAGUCAAGAUCGUCUUCAUCUAGCUCAAGUGGACCAUGUGCAAGGCAAAGGUUUUCCCUUGAUAGGUUUUCUAUUUUACCGGUCUUGUGGUGGUAGUUGGGAGACCGAGUUAUAGGAUCGUUUGCCGUACUAUCAAGGGGGUCUCUCAAGUUGGUAGCUUGAUCAUAUCGUUAGUAGAGAGCUCAAACCAUUGCAUCUUUGCAUCAUGUUUCUUGGUUCUUGUUUGGUUAUCUUUGUGAGUCUUAGAGCUUAUGGUCAUCUUGAUGACAAGCUUGAGUUCAUCGAAAACGGAGUUCGCAUGCGUCUUCUAUGAUGUUUUCGGUGUUGGAGGUUUUACCGGUCUUAUCCGAUGAAGGGUUCUCACCAUUUUCUUAUGGGACUUUUCUCAUUUGCUUAUUCUUGAUAUUUCUAUCAAUAUUGUGUUAGCCCAUGUUGUUAGCUUUCCAACAAAUUUGGUUUCGUUGAAUUCGGAGUCCGUUUGCAAAAGUUGUGGCUGUUUUGGUAAAGGCUGCAGCGGUACUACCGCGACUAGAGCGGAUGUAAUUUUUUACUACCGCUCCAGAGCGGUACUACCGCUGCUCCUGAGCGGUAGUACCGCUCCAGAGCAGUACUACCGUGGCUCCUAAGCGGUAGUACCGCCCCAGACCAAAAUCUCGUGUUUUCUCUCUCGUUUGGGCUGUUUUGACCGUGCUAAGCGGUAGUACCGCUCCUCCAAGCGGUAGUACCGCUUGUGCACGACCUGAGCACAUAACGGUUGGAUUCGGGAGGUCCUAUAAAAGGGGGUCUUCUUCCCCAAUGAACCUAAUCCUUUGAGCUCGUGUUCUUCCCCCAUUGUUGACCUUCUUCGAGCUUGCUAACUCUCAAUCCCUCCAUGGAUUCUUGCUAGUUUUUGAGGGAAAAGAGAGAGGAGAUCUAGAUCCACAUUUCCACCAAUCACUUUCUCCUCUAUGUGAGGGGAACCCCUUGGAUCUAGUUCUUCGAGUUCUUGGUGUUCUCCUUCUUGUUCUUCCUCUCAUUUUCCUCCCUAGCAUUAGUUGCUUCGGUGGGAUUUGAGAGAGAAGAACUUGGGCACUCCGUGUGCCCUUGCCAUUGCAUUUGGUGCAUCAGUUUGAGUUCUCGAUGGUGAUACGUGGAAGUUACAAGUUGAGAAGCUUAUUACUCUUGGGUGCUUGGUGCCCUUGAGCUUGCUCCUCUUGGGUGCUUGGGCGCCCUAGACGGUUGGUGGUGUUCGGAGCUCAAUCAUUGUGGUGUAAAGCUCCGGGCAAGCGUCGGGGUCUCCAAUUAGGUUGUGGAGAUCGCCCCGAGCAAUUUGACGGGUUCCGGUGACCGCCCCCUAGGGUUGCCAAAGUGUACGGGUUCGGUGACCGCCCCCAAGGGUUGCCGUUUGUACGGGUUCGGUGACCGCCCUCAAGGGUCCCUUAGUGGAAUCACGACAUCUUGCAUUGUGUGAGGGCGUGAGGAGAUUACGGUGGCCCUAGUGUCUUCUUGGGGAGCAUUGUGCCUCCACACUGCUCCAAACGGAGAUUAGCAUCCGCAAGGGUGUGAACUUCAAGAUACAUCGUCGUCUCCGCGUGCCUCGGUUAUCUCUUACCCGAGCCCUUUACUUAUGCACUUUACUUUGUGAUAGUCAUAUUGUUCUUGUCAUAUAUCUUGCUAUCACAUAGUUGCUUAUCUUGCUUAGCAUAAGUUGUUGGUGCACAUAGGUGAGCCUAGUUGUUGUAGGUUUUGUGCUUUACAAAUUAACCGUUAGGUUUAUUCCGCAUUUGUUCAAGCCUAAACCGUAAAUAUUUUAAAACGCCUAUUCACCCCCCCUCUAGGCGACAUCCACGAUAUUUCAAUUGGUAUCAGAGCCUCGUCUCUCUUUAUUAGGCUUUACCGCCUAGAGAGUAAAGAUGUUGACUAGGGGAUUAGGAUUCUCUGACACUCUUAGUUUCGAUGGCACAAAUUUUGAUGUUUGGGUAAUUCGCAUGCUUAAUCUCUUUAGGGUCAUGGACCCAAAUUUAGAGCGAAUUGUAGAUAUGGGUUUUUCUCCUCCAAAGGAUCCCCAAAGAUUAUCUUUAGAGGAUGAGAAAAACUCUUAUCUCAAUGCUCAAGCUUCUAAUGUGCUUUUCGAUGCUUUGAGCAAUGUAGUUAUAUUUCAACUCAUGCCGUUCCGAGAUGCUCAUGAGUUGUGGACGAAGCUUCAAGAUAAAUAUGGUGUGUCCAAGAUUUGUGGGGAUGAUUGUUCUCCCUCCACCUCCAGUCGUAUAGUCUCCUCAACUUCUUCUACUCCACCUACAUGUGGUUUGCCACAAGGUAAUGACAUGGUGAGUAGUGUUGGUCAUUGCAAUGAUGAUAGUGUGCUUAUUGUGGAUGAUCCUUCAUCACUAUAUUAUUGCAAUGCUCCUUCUUUGGGCUUUAACACUUCGAGCACUCCAAAUGUUUCACAUGCUUGUGUUGAUAGUCCUUGCAUAUCAUGUAGAAAUUGCUUGACUAAAUCUCAUGAUGAUAUGCUUGCUAUGUCUUGUUGCCAUGAUAAAAAUGCAUCUAUUUCCUCGAAUUGUUGUGCUAACAAUGUAGUGGAAACCGAACACUCCAUGGAACAAGAUGUGGUGUUUAAUGGUGCCUCAAGGGAUCCUACAUCAUCAUCUAUUGCUUUUUGCCUUAUGGCCAAGGCGUCAAAGGUAUCUCCUACUUUGUACCCCAAUAUGUCUCUUGAUGAUGAUGUUGAUGCUAAUGAUGAUGAGGAUAAUGAUGAAGAGAAUGAUAAUUGUCGGGGAAACUGAUCCACGAACACCUAUGGGGCCGGCGGACCGAGCCCCUUUCGGUUCGGCGGGGGGCGGAGAUCGCACGAAGAGCAGAUCGAGGCGAAGCACACGAGCAGUUUACCCAGCUUCGGAGCUCUCCGGAGAGAUAACACUCCUACUGCUGCUUGUUUGAUUAUCUUGUGUUCUUGCUCCAGAGAGUGAGCAUAAUGUUCUUCUGGGUUCUCAACCAGUCGAACCUCGCGAACCCCCUCUACGUUGCGCAUGGGCCUCCUUUUAUAUGCUAAAGGGGUCACCGACAGGUGGCAACGCAGAGAAGGGUACAAAUGUAAAAAGUGAGGUGGUUGGUAUAGUUACUUGUACAGUGCACCCUACCUAACCCUGACGGCAGGGGACAAGGGCAUUAAAUGCCUGUCUGAGUCGCCUAAACAGGGCAGAAAUGGACCGUUAGGGGCGCCACCAUUCGCCACGAUGGCGAUCUUGUCAGCUUCGCAUGCCACUGCGCACCGCUGGCUGCACAACCUCCCGCCACGCGCGCCUAGAGAGGCCCCUAGAGCGACACGUUGGUGGAAGCGCUGGAGCGUGGGCACAGAGUGGCCGCCUGCCGCGGCAAGCGCCUUGCCGCUGCUGUUAUCUUGUCGGGUACGGAAGCUUGUCGCUCACCGGGCCUCGAGGUACCUUGGUUGGUCUUCCCGGCAAGCUCCUCUUGCCGGGGCCUUGUUGCCUUGCCGGAGCGCGUGGCGCGUCGCGGCAAGUUCCUUGAAGUGCCUUGGUUGGCCUUCCCGGCAAGCUCCUCUUGCCGGGGCCUUGUCUCCUGAGCUUAAAUACUUUGUUCUUGAAUGGCUCCAAGGGAACCACGGAGGAUCUUGGCAUUCGCCCGGCAAGCCUUGCCGCGGGGUGCUGCAACUGCUCGUGCACAAGUUCGGGGUACUAGGGUACCCCUAUUCUAGUACACCGACAGGAGCCCCCGGGCCUGGGCCAGACACGGUGCCGAGCGCUAUUCGGCCAGGCCCAAGACAGGGCACGGGCACACGCGGACUGGGCCACGCCGAAUCUCGCUCCGUAUCCACCGCGCUCUCCCCUAACGGCACGCGUCGAAUGCGGCAUCGUGGGAGAGAUCAUGGGUGGUUCUUUAUUCGGAAGGGUGAAACGUCCGCCCCGUCCCUCUUUAUAAGAAAAGGAAACAGGGGCAGUUCGUUCCCCCUCGCUGGUUGCUACUACUCCAUCUUCACGAACCUCCGCCGCUCCCCCCUUCUUCUUGAAGCCGAGAGAGCAGCGCUCCGCCCCCCAUUGCCACCAGCAUCACCAACGCCGUCGACCUCCCCCACCACCUCCGCCAUGGCUCCGAAAGCCGACAAGGGAAAGGGCGUGAAGUCGGUCGAGGCGCAGCGGCUCGCGGUGCUGCGGAAGGAGCAGGCGAUCUUCUCCCCCCAGCUCGGCACGAAGGAGCUGAGGGAGUACUUCUACCUCUUUUGGGCGAUGGAGACGCGGGCGCAUCCGCGCACGAGGGUACUCCCGGCUACUGCUUCGGAACUGGCUCCAAACGGGUACCCAUUCUUCGCGUUGUUCUUCUAUUGCGGGCUCUGCCCGCCCUUCUCGGAGUUCUUCUGCGAUAUCAUGAACACCUACGGCUUCUGCCUCCUUGAUUUCACCCCCAACGCCGUUCUGACCAUGGCAGUUUUCGCACAUUUGUGCGAAAACUUUGUCGGAGUCCACCCCAAUGUUGCCCUUUUCCGCCACUUCUUCAUACCUCGGGUAGAGAGAGGAGAGCCGCUUGCCAGAGGGAUCGCCUAGAUCUCGAGAGUCGGCAAGAAGGAGGCGUACUUGGAGGGUGAGCUCCGCAGCAAGUGGGAGGAGUGGAGAGCGGAGUGGUGCUAGAUCGUCGAGGAGAAUCCGCAGCCCUUCACCGCCGUGCGCCAAGCUCCAAUAGUGCGCGGCAAUGACUGGAGCAACAUGGCCCCGGAAGACGAGAGGCUGAAGAUCGCCAUUACUAGGAUCCUUCGCCUCAGGCUUGCCGGGCUCACUGUAGGUGCUGUAGGCACAGAUUUCCUCCGCCGCCGCAUCGCCCCCCUGCAGGAGAGGGGGAGGCCCGCCUGGGAAUUCAAGAACUCGACGGACAUCAUGAGGCUGCGGCCGGGCCUCAACUACAACUUCACCGUCAUGGAGCUGGAUGCAAUGCUCCUGGAGUUGUUCAAACGCGAUCCCCAGCACCCAUUCACGCUGGCGAGGGGCGUCGUUCCAUUGUGCAAUAAUUCUUCGCUUGAUCGGAUCUGCGCCAUGAUGCCGUUGUGCGAUUCACACGAAAUCGUUCCAACUUGGCAAGAGCCUGCGGAUGACGUAGUGCAAGCGUUCUUCGACAACUUGGAAGAGGUGCCGGUCCGCACUGACGAGCAGAAGAGCCUCACCCGUGACACCACCGAUGAGGAGCUGCAGCGCAUCGCCACUAGGGCGGAAGAGGUUGCGGCCAUAGCUGCCGCGGGCGCGUUCGGGUUCACUGUGGAGGAGGCGGAGGCGGCAGAGGCGGCAAACCUCGCCGAGCGCGCGGAGUUUAUUGGUGAGGAAGAGCCUGCCGGUUCUGAAGCUGAGCCGAGCGAGGCCGGCGAGGAAGAGCCCGAGCCUUCAGAAAACUUGCCGCAGGCGGAGCCCCCGGCACCGCCAAGAAGGUGUCUUCGCAGGGCCGCGGACGUAGCGGGGCGGCAGCCCGGUCAACAACCGCCGAGCCGUGCGACACACUCUACCGCGGUGUCACAUCCCUAGCUUCUGGUGCUGCCUAGUGUUUGCAUCAUGUUUAAAUUUUUGAAACUUGAACUGAGGAAAUUUGGAAGCCUCAAAAACUUAAAUAAAAGAAGGGCAAAAACCCUAAAAUCUCAUUCAUUGUUCCAAAAUGCUCUUCUUAAAUGUUUGAUAAUUUUUGGCAAGGGUUCUGGUCCCAACCAAAAUAUUGAACAUUUUUAAGGACUUAAUCUUGGGACUUUGAAUUUAAAUCAUUAGCUAUUUGAAUUUGAAUUAUAUUCAUAUAAUUAGAAUAUAAUUUCAAAUACCCCUGAAAUAUUUUGUGAGCUUUUGGAAAAGUCCAUCUAGCAAAAUAAAAAUAUUCAGAGGAGUUUUUCGCAUUGUUUGAAUUAUUUUAAAUUCAAAACAGUGGCAAAACAAAUUAAAAAAAAUAAAACAAACAGAAAAUAAAACAAAGCACUUACCUGGCGCUCACCUCGCAGCCCACCUGGUGGCCCAACAGGACCGGCCCAGCGCGGCCCAGCCCAGAGCCCCUGGCUCUCUCUCACUCUCCUCGCUCCUUCCCCCCCUCUUCUGUUUCUCGCACGCAGCCACCAAGCGGAGCCCGUCGCCGCCGUUCGCCAUAGCCGCGGCCACUGGCCACCCCACGCAAUCCCGACGCGCCCAGAAGCUCCGCCAUGUUGUCUUCUUCAUCCUCGAUGAGCCACGCAAGCCGGGAGGGCCUGGAACGUCGCCAUCGCCGUCGUCUUCCACCUCGGGCUCCGACCACCACCGCCGUCGAUUUGCCGCAUGCAGGACGUCCCCGAGCACACUGGCCUGCUCUGCGAGUCCGCCGUGAGCCCCUCUUCCUUUCCCCUCACCUCUCUCUCUCUCGCGCGUGCCCUGUAGCCGCUGCCCUGCGAGCGCCCGAAGCCGCCGUCCGCCAUGGCCGGCGAGCUCCGUGCCCCCGAGCACCUCCGCCUCGCGUAGUAGCUCCGACGUGCUCCUGCUGCCCCGUAGCUACCGCCUGUGCUCUCCGUUCGCUCGAACGCGAGCUGCAGCCCCACGCCCGCGCUUUCCCGAUCUCCGGCCGCCGCGGAAGCGGACACCGCCAUCGAUUUAGGUCGUCUCCGGCGACCCCUCUAGCACCAGCCGACGCGGACGAGGCCCAGGGUUCCAACGGUGCCAUCCGCGCCCCGAACCAUGGCCCGUGCUGCGUUUCCGGAUCGCGCCGCCGUCUCGGGCCUCGCCGGCGUCAUGUCGCCGGUGGGUUUGACCCACUUUGACCAUGGCGGGACCCCCCCUGUGUCCAUGACAUGUGGGGCCGGCCUUUGACUGAAUUAGUGUAGGAUUUUAAUUAGUGCUAAUUGCCCUGUUAGUUUAGGUGUUAGAUUAGUUAACACUAAUUAAUUUAGUUAAUUCAUUAAGCCACUGACAUGUGGGCCCAGCCCUGCUGACAUUUUCGUUAGUAUUAGUUUAACCCUAAUCAACCCAGUUAACCAACUGAGUCACUGACCAGUGGGCCCCACUGGUCAGGUUUGACCUGAACCCGCCCUAUUGACCUGAUGACGUCAGGGUGAUGUCAUGCUGACGCAGUAAAUGUUUUCUGGAGUUUUAAAUAAAUCAAAAAUGAUUUAUUUAUUUCAGAAAAUAUCCAAAACUUCAAAAAUUCAUAGAAAUUCAACCGUAACUCCAAAUGAAAUAAUUUAUAUAUGAAAAAUGAUCAGAAAAAUCCAAUCUAUCCAUCUGUACUAUUUUCAUGCAUGUUAGAACAACUUAUAGCUUCUGUUUAGCACAAAUCAUAUAAAUGACAUUUGAAUUUCACAUAUGGAGUUUGGUUUUGAACUUAGGGUUCAAACCAACUUCAUUUAACUUUGUUGCUAGCUGCAUUAGCUCAAACCACAGCAUAUUGCGAUGUCACACUCAUGCAUCAUAUUGUUGCAUUGCAUUGAUUGUGUUCUUUCUCUGUUGCCGGUGUUUGUCCCCUCUUGAUAGACGUGGUUCGACGAUGAGUUUGAUGACACCGAUGAAGAGCUAUACUAUCUUCAGAAGUGCCAGGCAAGCAAAACCCCCUUGUUCAUUCUGAUACAAUCCCACUCUCUCGCUCCUGCUCUCUUUUACUCCAUUAGGACAACACCGAUUCAACUGUUACAUGCUGCGGUAGUUGAACCCCUUUAUCCUCUGCAUGACCUGUCAUUGCCACAGUAAAUAGAUGAAACCCACUAGCAUGAGUAGGAGUUGUUUGAGCCCUGUUGUGCCUACUCAUUCAUGCUUGUUUGUCAUGCCUGCUACUGCUUAGAGUUGAGUCAGGUCUGAUUCAUCGGGGAUGAAUCAGAGGUAUGUGAACAUGUCCUACCAUUGGGAGCUAAGUGUGUGAACACGAUUUGGUAAAGGUAGCGGUGAGAGGCCAUGUAGGAGUACAUGGUGGGUUGUCUCAUUGCAGCCGUCUUCAGGAACUGAGUUCUAUGUUUGUGAUCCAUGACCAGUUACUACCACACAUUGGGUUCCGGUAACUCGACCCCUCUCGACUUAUUAAUCAACAUGAUCUCUGUCCAGGAGUUGCAACUAGUUUCUGGUGUUUGUAGGUAGUGUUAGUAGUCUACCAAGUGGCACCCGGUACAGGUGGGCUUGGGACAGACUAGGCACAGUGGCACGGUGUACCAAGUGGCACCCGGAUGGUGGGCUUGGGAACCCUGCUCACAUCGUUUGGGACCGUGAGCGACACCCCGGCCGGAUCUCCUUGCGGAUGGAACCUGAAUAGGCGAUAAACCUGGACGAGAGACUUGUAUGGUUAGUCAGGUCGUGGCCGACUCCCUCGCCCGACUUCCGCUUGAAGGUUGCCGAGGUACAUGACGUGUACAGGGCGAUAAGUGGCGAGAGCGUGUGUGAAGAAGUACGCCC
rnacentral:lncRNA from 1 species